rnacentral:lncRNA from 1 species
GCGAAACCAAUCUGUUGAGAGGAAGCUGAGGCAGAUAUGCGAUCCAAGUACCCAAACCUAUUUUUUGCGAACUCCGAUCAUGACGAAGGUACCGUUCUUUCCUAAAUCAUGCACUUUUGAUAAAAGUUACAGCAGUUCAACUGUCAUUUAUUAUUUGUUCAGCUGUAGUUUCUUGAAUUUAUACAUUCUAUGUUGCAUUCGGAGUGAGAAACGAUAUGGUGUUGAGUAUAACGAAUGGUUUCAGUUGUAUGCUCUAUUCCCUAUCUAAUCUUGGCAUGUCUAGCGUCAUUCGAGGAUGAAUAUUUCCAAGAGGGGGAUGAUGUAAUACCCCGGGAAAUUUUUUGUUGAAAUUUUAUGCGUAAACGUGUUGGGUUCUAUCUUCUAGAAUAAAUUAUAAAUUUUUUGUGCAGAAUGUCUUAGAUUAUGACCCACCAUUUCGUAGAGUAUCGAAUAAGCUUUCCAACGAUAUGUGGAUCAUCUAAAAAGGACACCCGAGCGACGAGUUAUGAACAUUCUGAUCGAAUCGUGAAUAGUAGUGAACAGUAAAACGUGCUGGAAAAAGUACUGAGGCCUGGCGUAUUUUUGGAACAACUUUAAACGAUCAUAACUCCUUGUACAUAUUGAUCUGGAUAAUCUAAAAUAUAUCAACGUAAAGCUCUGCGAGUCCUCUUUCCAAUGCAAUUGGUUUCACCCAAUUUGUCUAUCGGAGCAAAAAGUUAUGGUCGAUCUACUUCAUCCUACAAAAGCAAAUUUUUAGGUCAACUUCAAAUGAUCAUAACUCCUCGUACACAAUGAUUUGGGUAAGAUACUAUAUAUCAAUGGAAAGAUAUAAGGGUCCUCUUUCUAAUAAAAUUGGUUUCAUCCAAUUUGGAUAUCAGAAUAAAACGUUAUGGUUUAUCUACUUCAGACUAUCAAAAUAGUCCACCAAAGGACAGAUUCAAGAAUUAUUUGAUUUUUAGGAGCGUUUUGGUCAUUUCUCCUCACCCAAAAUCCAUGAAAACCCUAUAUUAAAGCCUAUUAGAAGCAUUAUAUGUUAUAUUUCAUCAAAUUCCCUCAAAAAGGAAACCCUAAGCUCCUACAUCCAACUUCAAGAACCUCCAAAGUUCACCAUUAAUUCUGCAAAUUUAUUCAAGAUUAACCCAUAUCUUAUGAUGAUUAUUAUGAGAUCUUGAUUUUUAUGAUUUUGAAAGAUGAAUUUACAUGUGUGGAGAUAUAAAGCAUGAAUCUUGAACGAUAUUUAUCAUGAUUUUGAUAUUUGGGUCGUGAAUCCCCAUUGAAAAUUAUGUUUUUUUGAGAAAGUGUGUGUUAUAAGAACAUUGAUGUUGAAUAUUUGAGAUAUUUUGAAUGAUUUGACCUUUUAGUCUUAACGGAGUUGUUUUGAACUCGAGUGUGAAAGAAAUCCACAAUGUGGUUGAUUUUGAUAGAUGGGAAGCAUAAUGGCUCCCAAUGUAUAUUUAUAUAUUACUGAAAUUAUUAUUUUUUAGAUUGUCUUCAAAAUGAUCUGAGCUAAGUUUGGGAGAAAUCUUUAGCACUGAGCGGGAGGUACAAAGCGACCUUACAUCCCUAGAACUACGUGCUCCCACAGGAGUGAGUCUGAGGCUGAUUUAUAUAGUGAUCACUAGUUUGUGUGGAUUUGAUAUCGAUAUCCUACUCCAAUGGAAAGGAUAGGACGGCUCUUCCCAAUGUGGGUUGUACGUUCAACUCUAUGUAGCUCACAUGGUUUAUGUCGGUUAUAGGAUCUCUUAGUGUGUGUGUGUUUCCUUGUGUCUAUGGUGAAUGGUGAAGUGAUUUGAAAGUGGAAUUGUGAAAGUUAUUCUUUUGAAAGAUUUAAAUGAUAUUUACAUUAUGAGAAUUGAUAUUCUUGAUGAACUGAAAGUGAUUGACAAAUAAUAUGAUGACUCACAUAUGUUAUUGUACUUAUCUCAUCCUCUCGUGAUUAUGAUGAUUUUCUUUGGGCUAUGUAAGUUUUUCAUAUAUCCUGCAUAUUUCUUAUAAAUAUUUAUGAUGAUGAUGUUUAUACAACUGCAUAUACCUCCAUAUACUUGGUUUCUUUCCAUGGUACUGACCCACAUCUUCGGAUGUGGGCUGCAUUUUCUCAGAAUGUAGGUUCAAGUGCUCAGUUCCAAGUUCGACAGUGAUUCUUUGGGACAUUGGUCUACAUCCUCUAUUGUGGUGAGUCCUCAUGUUCUGAGGACGUGAUGUCUGAUGUUGGUUUCACAGAAUCGUUUACAUUUGAUAACUGAGUAUGAGUCAGUUGGGGCAUAUCUCAAUAGCUCACUGGUUUUAUCAAUUUUCUUAGAGUCUUGUCAGACUAGUAUAGAUGUUGGGAGUUGACUAAUAAGUUGUAUUUUGUUAUCUUUCGAAAAUUCUUUUAUUCUUGGAUAUGAUUACUCUGUUAAUAUUUGAGGGUUAUUUAUGGAAACCCUGUUGAUCUGUGUUGAACUGAAUGAAAAUGGAUCAAAGGGUUAGCUUGGGGCUACUCGUAGCAUCAAGCACCGUGUGACGCUCCGGGACCCAUUUUCCGGUGCGUUACACUAAUUUUAUGCACUAUUUUAGUUUACUUUUCUUUACAAAUCAAAACUCUUUUGGUUACCAUUAUAGUCUUAAUAGUUGAACUGCAAUUUGAUAGUUUUUUAACACUUGUCCUUGUGGGAUCAAUAUUUGUCUUGUGGAUGGGACACUCUACUAAUUUUGAGGCGACGUACAUUUGCUUGGGUACUACAAAAAUCAAUAUAGCACAAAAGAGAGUAUGCAUCUGUAUUAUGGAUGUACUAGUGUGCGAUAUAAAUGCUAACUAGCAUACAUUACGGUGCUUAACAUGAAUUCAUGAACAUGUAAAAUGAGAUCAAGCAUAAAAAUGUACUAAAAUGAUAUGAAUAACUUAACAACUAAUAUAUGGACACUUGGUCUCGCAAAUUUAAUAGGUAUGAUAUGAACAAUGAAAUAAAACUGUGAGAACUAACACUUAAUCGAUAUGCCCCAAUCUAAGCUAACCGAGGUCCAACCUAUAACUUCAGUUGGAAAGGUGCCAAUACCCUAUCUACUAGUAGUAAUACUGGCUUUGUGGAUCAACUAAGAUGGUGUCCUGAAAGACUAGGGUGUCACCCUAAACUGGUAGGUGCCCCUAGGAGAGGGUCAACCCUCUACUAACAGGAAGGCCUCUGAUAACCUACAUUGGCUACAUAGUUCUAGAACCUUGGGUCUGCUACUAUAGGUCUCACCCUAAGCUGGCAGGUAAGCCUUCAUCCCUAGGUUCACUCGGUGUUAAGUUAUACUCCCAAUUGAACUGACAAUGAUACUGAAAGAAGUUUAGGAUAAUUCAAUCGGAUAAAUGCUCAACAUUAUAGUAAUAUAAGUAUAAUAACACAAACAUGAUCUAAAUAACUUGUAACUUUAAAUCUGUAACAUGCUUGACCAUCUAGGUUUUAGCUGUUCAUAACCCGCCAGCACUGAAAAAUAAAGUAAAUACAAAAUCCUCAAAAUUAUAACAUAAUGGGGAAAUUUUCAUGACUUGAACUCAAGAAUUCUAUGACCUUAUAAAUAUUGAGGUAUAAUAUUUUUGGGAUACUAAAGCAUGUUUUAACAUAUGUGGGAAUACGUACUCAUGGUAGAAUUCAAAUAUUAAAUUGAAGAAUUAAGAAAUUCAUGGCUUUUCAUGGAACCCUAGAUCAAAAUUUAAAUAAAUUUGAGAAUUUGGGGAAAUUUGGGAUUCAAUGUGUCAAAGGAACCCACUGAUGAAUAUCCUGCAUACUAGAAUUUGAUGACUUCUCAAAUAGAACUUGAAUUUGGAGCCUUGAGAGGUGAAUUCUUUGAUCAAACCCUAUCCUUUAGUUCUUGACAGUGGGAGAGGAAUGAAUUUUUUUAACUCACUGAGAAAGGGGAAAAUAAUACCUAUUUUUGGUUGUAGGUCAUUGAUUGUGAGUUUCAAGAGGAGGAAAGACCAAAAGCCCUUCACCCUCAAGUGAAUUGCAUGAUUUUUACACCUCAGGAUGGCACAGUAAUUUUCGAAGAGACUAUCCUCUAUUUUAUGCCGAUAAUGCGGAGACUGCCCUUCAUUAUAUGGAGAUAUAUCAAAUGCACACUGUUGUCAUGCCAUGCUAAUAUCGCGAAUAGUAACCUAAAAAUAUGGAGGCUUACUACGUUGGAAUAUUAAGAUGACCCAAAACCUCUUCCAAAAAUUUUGAAACUCUUCCGAGGCACCCUACUAACUUGCCUAAACAUAAUUUAAGUCAAAAAUCAAUGUUUUAAACUUAAGAAGGCAAAAAAUAUAUUGCUCAAAAUUUUGAUGGUGUCACAGUUAACUACACUUACCUAUGGUUUGAUAUAAUCGCUUUGGGGCCUUUAAACAUAUGACAAAUAGUUGGAAACUUAUCUUGCAGUUUGAGGGGUAUUACAAUAUCUUCCCUAAGGAUAAUUCAUCCCCAAAUGAAACUGUUUGAGUUGGAAUACCAGGAAAACUGAGAUUAUGCAUUAAAUACUUAUGAACUAAAUAUCUGAAUUGGAAACAUAAUGCAUGGACUAAACUAAAUUCAUGAAUUAAUGUUAUGACAUGAGGACGGUUUAAUAGCUAUGAUAGAAAAUGAGAGAACUAAUUUAAAGAAAUCAUUACCUAACACUUAACCUAAAUGAAUAGAGAAACUAUUGGGAUACUUGGCUUGCAUAUCUACUUCUGCUUUGCAAGAAGCUCUCUGAAUGGACUGAUUCCUCACUAAUACCUUUACUAAGGUAUAAUACCCCAUACUAAUCUUAGCUCGGUUAAUCUCUUAAUUUCAUGUGUAAGGGGCUUAAGUCUUGAAAUUUCACUAAGUGUUGCGGACUUAGUUAUUUUUUAAGGCCUCUUAACUUCAAUAUUUUGAAUUAGUAUUCUCGACCCCGAGAUGUUGGUCUUUGAGUUAAUUCAUGUUUAGGGGUGUAAGGACCAUGUCUACAAAGAGUUUCAUAUUUUUCAAAUCAGGAUUAGGUCAUGUAUUGAUCAUGAUUCCAGCAGCUCACCACGAUAGUGUCGUAUAAUGAUGCUAAUGACGAUACUCUUACCGCAUUGCGGUAAUCAUCCAAAUAACAUUACAGUUUUGAAUUACUGCCUGAGGGUCAAUUAUGUCUUUUCCCCGCAAUCAACGUAGGCAUAUCAUGAUUCAUAUCACCAGUUAGGGUGUUAUUAGCCCCUCUUUUACAAUUCUCCUCUCAAAGAAAACCUAUUAAUCUCCCAAAAUCAUCAUGUCAAUUACUUACUCUCCAAGGUAAACCAAGGUUUCAAGUUCCCAAAUCCAAGAACCUUCAAGAAAGCAUCAAGAUUGAUGUUUAUCUUUCAAUAUUAAGUGUUUACGGUAUGUAGGAGUUCAUCCAUGGGUCCCCUUUCACACACGAAGCCCAAGAACCCUUUUUGAUUUUUAAUUAUGAGUCUUACAUAUUUUCAGUAGAAUUAUCACCAUGAAUUUCUUGUUGAUUUCAAUUAGGAGUUAUGGUUUCAUGUGUUUUCAAGUAGAAAGAGUUAUAUCAUGUUUGCGUAUUGAAAUUUCCAUACAAUGUUAAAUUGAUUUUAGAAUGAAUCCCUAAGUUAUGAAUUUAGCCAUGUUAUCCUAUUGUUUUCCAAUGUUUAAGACAUUCCCUUGUUCAAGUAUAGGAUUCCCAAGUGGUUGACGAAAUGUCUAUGCUUUUGAGUCUUUGAAACAUGAUUCAAUCCCAAAGUCUUAAGUUUUAAUAUCGUAUUUUAUACUCAUUCAAUGUUGUUGGGUUAUGAACACCCGAUACUUAUGCGAUUUACAUAAAUUCAGGUUUGCAAGUAUUCACACAGUUAAUUCAUAAAUCUUAUUAGUAUAAUCAGAUACCCAUAUGCAUGAUGGCAUUAUUAGUUUAUGUGUUAUUAAUUACCCCAUAUUCAUAUGCACUGUUAUUUUUAGAAUACCAUUGUUGGCACCCGAUUUUUGCUCUCCGUGCCUAAAAUUAAUAUCUUCAGGCUUUCUAUUCGUUAAAGGGCACGAAGCAUAAUUUUCACAUCUUUUUACAAUUGUUUGAUAAAUUAUUGAUAAUUAUCCUUUCUUUAGGAUUUUAAUCAAUUUGUUGUCAUAUUUUUAUUUUUUAUAAUUUAUUAAUAAUUUUACUAAUUUUAAGAUUUUUAUCAAUUCAUUAUCGUUAUUAACAUUUUACAAUCAUCAACACACAUGCACGACAUGACUUUAUAUAUAUAUAUAUAUAUAUAUUUGCAGUAUUUUUAAAUUAAUUAUAGUUUAAUAAUUUUAAUAUUUUUAACAUUUUUUAAUUCAACAUCUAUAUUUUACACUCCGCAAAUGCUGAGUCGGAUCAAUUAUUUUUGUUUAGUAUAAUAAUUUGAUGUCUUAUCACAUCCGACAAGGACUACACAAUAAUUUCUUGUCAUGUUCGACAAUGACCACUCAGUGUUGUCUCGUUACAUCUGACAACGACCACUCAAUGACACUACCCUUUGGAUAACUACUUUGUCCGUUGGUCAAAAUGAUGAAAAUCCUUUGGCUAAUAACUUAAGGACCUAAGGGUGUUCUAUUAUAAAAAGAGAGGACAGCCCUUUAUUCAUUCGAUAAAAGGGGUGCUCAAUUUUUUUGAAUAAAUAGGUAGUGGGAGGACACAUUUUGGACACAUAUUUUUUGUUCAUUUUUUCCUCUCUUUCAAAAUACACAUUAUUUAUUUAUUACAAUUGAUAAACAUUUUUCCUUUGCAAACCCACACACAUAUUCAUAAAUACAGAAACAUAUUUUAUAUAUUCUAUUUUUCUAUUUUUUUCCUUCAAAAUACAUCAUAGAUAUAGACACACACUAACACAUCACACAUAUAUACACACUAAAAUCAGAUGGUUGCUCACUUUUCUCUCCCAAAACAAACUACAUACACAAAUACCAUCUUUUCUCUCUCUCUAACAAAUCUCUCUCUUCUCCUUUCUCGUAUCACCAUCAUCUUCAUCUCAUCGCAGGUCCCCCAUCGAGAUCCCUACAGGACCAUCCCCUACCAUAUCUCUCUUCAUUCUUUUCGUGCCUCGCUGGAGCUAAUCACCGGUGGGCGGGCCUCAAACUAUUGACGAUUAGAUCUGGCCAGCAUUCUUUUUCCUUUCCCUUUUCCACCUAUUUGCACUGCUUUUUGUCCUCCAGGAGGAGCUCCGGAUAGGUUUCCCCUCGUACAUUUUCCACAAAUUCGGAACAAAAGACCCGCUUCUUCGGCGCUUCAUCGUCGUUGAAGUAGCGUUGUUGGUUGGUGCCUUUGUUUAUUUUUUAUGCUUGAUAAUAUUCUUAUUAUGCUUGUUCUUGUCUGAGUAGUUUAGCUCUUACCAGAAUUGUCCAUGGGUUUCCUUAAUAAUUUCUUUUGCAUAUGGUUGUUUACUUUUGCUGUUACUGCUACUUCGUCUCUGGGUCUGUUGCUGUUUUGCAUUAGACAUUGAUUUUGAAUAAUUUUUAUUAUUUACAUUUAUUUAAUUGAUAAAGAACAUGGAUACUACACUAUUUACAUUUUUAUUUAACUGAUAAGAAAUAAAUACUACACUGAUAUUGGCCAAUGAAAAAAUACCGUCGAUUUUUUAGGACUCCACAAAUAAAAGACAGAUUUUACGUAUACAAAUACAUAAUAAAAAUAUUUUUUUGGCGAUGAUAAAACUUUAUAACAACAAAAGAUUUUACAAUUCAUAUUUUGGCAAGACGAUUUAGGACGGUCAAUUAAUUGAAAAACCAUUUCGUAGCAAAACUAUUUAGGACGGUCAAUUAAUUGAGCAACCAUUUCGCAGUCAUGACUUUAUGUGAGCCAACUUUUAAACCAAAAAAAAUAUUUUUAAAUAGUUAUAUGCACACAUACUUGUUCAAUUUAUUUUGAUUAUUAUUUAUUUUUUUUAUGCACACAAACUUGUUCAAUUUUUUACAAGUGUUUAUACAGGUUAUUUUGGAUACUCGUCGGGAGUUGCAGUCAAAGAGGCUCUUUUAAUUUUAUAUUGUAUUUUAUAUUCUUAUAUUUGUACAAAUAUUAUUAUAGUGAAAACUUUAGUUUUGGGAUGUUGGGUGGGAUUUUCUUUAUUUAUACGACUUCACAUCGUAUUUAUGCAAACUUAGGUCGUAAAUGUUUACAUUAAUAAAUUAAAUUAAUUAAUUCUUUUACGUACUUUGAUAUCAUAAUCAUUCUGAUCUUUUCUGUUCAAAUAAAUCUUUACUUUUUUCUCGUAAAUUUUAAAUCAAGUAAAAACAUUAUUUUUAAAUAUUUUUCUCCUCAUGGCAUAUCAAGAUACACUUCUCUUCAUACACGUCACAAAAUAUUUUUUCUUUUCACAUGUAAUUUAUACAUUUUUAUAAAUAUUUUUUUUUACAUGUGUUUCAUAACAAUAUGUUUUAUUUAUAUAUUUAAUAUACAUAUACCUUUACAAAAUUUUAAACAUUUAUGUUUUUUAAAAAAAUUAUUUUAUAAUUAAUACAUAUUUUGUAAAUUAUUUUAAAUAUACCUCCUCCCUCUUUGAAAAAUUUAGUCUAGCCGGAUACCACAUCUGUGGAUCUCGAAGGGUGCCUAACCCCUUCCCUUGGGGAUAACUUGAACCCUUACCUAAAAUCUUAAAUUGGUUUUCGUAGACUAAAAAAAUUAAUCAUAUUUGUUAAUAAAUAGGUUUCCUUAUUUUCCUUAAAAAUUAGGUGGUGACUCUGUAUAUAAAUUCAUUCUUUUAGAUUCCAUAACGUCGUGCUCAUUUGCCCUUAGGUAGAAAUAGGGGCGCUACAGACUGGCGACUCUGAUAGGGAUGAGGAGACGUUCUAACCAUGAUCGACUCGAUUUUCAAUCGAGGGAAAUAUUUUUACAUUUUUUGUAUAUGAUUAAAUUCUUUACCCAUUACACUACAAAUUAUGUUAAUUUGCUCAUAAGUUCCUUACAUUUUUUUAUCAUUCUUAGUUUAGGAUUUUUAUGCUUUAUUAUGUUAUUUGUUUUACAUAUUUUUAUAUCAUGCUAUGUGUGAAAGGACGCAAGCCAAAUCCAAACUUGUGUUCCUUAUUUGUUUGAAUAACACUACUUAUUACUGCUUUAUCACUUUCAUUUUUCUAUCGAGUUUUUGGUUGUCCACAAUUCACACACCGUGGUACACGCGAGGGGUGUACUGCACUUCUCCAAACCUUCUUUGGAUUCCUUAGUUUUAGAGUCAGUGCAUUUAGCUUAGUGCACCUUCUCGUAAAUAUUCAAUCCCACUCUUAAACAUUUAGGGAAAAAUGCUACUCUAGUAAUAGGUCAUAUUGCAUAUACCUUAGGCGGGAUGGUCAAAGGUAUCAUCUUCGCAGCUAUUAAGCCACUCUUUCAUCAGAAGGUUAUGAAACCUUUAUGGCAUAUUUUGUGUUUGAAUUGAUUCAGAUAAUCAAGAAAUCAAACAUUAAUGGAUUCAGAACAAUCAAAUUAGCCUCUUUUACUCUUCCUUCAUUCGACAUCAUUCUCACAUCAAUAGACAUAAAGCAUUACCCAAACUUCGCAAUAUUUGACACCAUUUUCACGAAUAUAGUGUUGUUAAAUCUCUGUUUCACAAAUAUCUUUCUCGAAGUCCAUGAAAGCCGAGUGUUCUAAAAAUGCUUUGCUUUCGUUUGAGUUUCUCUUAAAGUCCGCAGAUAGGGAAUGUCACUAAAAAACUCCACUUACGUCUAUCUUUUUUUUUUCAUCCAAACUAGAGUGGAAUGACGUCAAGAAAUCUUCCAAUGUUUGAUUACUUUUUCUAAUCAAAAGACAUAGAAUAUUAUUCAAAACUCUACAAUUAUUUGACACCCUUCUUCAAAACAAUGAAUGUGGAAUAUUAUUCAUCUUCACCCACUUCUAACUCUUUCCAGCCAUUGAGCGUGAGGCAUUAUCGAUACUUCUCCUCCAUUUGAUACCCCUACCAUAAGAUCCUCAUUCAUCAAUAACGAGAUUUUAGAUACUCACUCUUUUAAAAGCAUCAUUUUUAGCCUGCUUCUAUCAAUUCUUAUCGACUAUAUAGGCCUCUUUUAGCCACCCUUGAUGGAUACAUUUUCUUUUCUAGAAAACUUAAAAUUGUUCUGAAUCCAAAAUGUUCAAAAUCUAGAUUCAUCUAUGUUAGUUUAUUUGAACAAAGUCCUACCUCUGGCAAAAAGAAGCUCCACAAUAUAAAAUGGACUUACUUGAUGUUGUCUGAAUGUGCUUGUCCAUCGACAUGAACUAACUCCUUAACUUUUAUUUGUGUUGGAAUUAUCCCCGCAAAAGAGAUUAGUUAUUUGUGUUGGAAUUCCAUUGAAUUGUCCACUACUAUGCAAGAGCUUCACCAUUUUCUUCUUCAGCUCAAAUCUACAUCUAAAAGUUAGUUUUUUGAAUCGGGGAGGUCAAAUUUGCCACAAGUAGGAUUGCCACUUCACGAACUGUCCUGUAGUCUAGUGGACUAUCAGUCAUUGGUUGAGGAAUAUCUUGUUCUUUGUUGAUUUACGGGAUACGGUAGAGAAGGAUUGCUUUUCUUCUCUGUUAGUAUAAGUGUUGUUCGAGCUUGAGGUCUGGCUAAACCAAUUCUCAGUCCUUUGCCAGUUUACAAGCUAGUAAAUCUAUUUCCUACAAAGUCAGAACCAAACCCAAGUAAAAAGAACUUAAGAAAUCCAAAAACUAAAGCAGUUUCCAAAUUACAAGUCUCUGGCAAUGGCUCCAAAAACUUGUUGUGCCUAAGUAUAUAUGCAACAGUACGUGGUCUUACCAAGAAAUAUAGUGGCCUUUACAAACCAAGUAUCCAUCUCCCAGAGACUUGUUUUGAUAGCUAUCCAAUUCUAGUUCACUAUUAUAAUCAAUUUAAUGCAAACACAACAACAAGAUUUUAAAAGUUAUAAGUAACUGUAAAUUAAAUAAUACGGUAAAUUAAAAGUCUUGGAAAAUCAAUGAGGAGAAACCAAGGGUUAAGGCCCUACGAACAAUCAUACUAUUUUAUUGAAUUUCAUUUAUUAGUUUUCUUAUCUUGUUUGUAGAUUCACGAAAUUGAUAAUAUUACUAUGGUCUUUCGAGUCUCUAGUCACCUAUAUAAUUUAGACCCACAACUAUAUGAUUGAGCGAGGAAGUGAGAACUAAGUUAAAUACAUUUAUAUUUCAUCCCAAAAGUGAAACAAAUAGGUCACGUAGGUAUAUUCCUAUCCUCAAUGAAAAUUAUAACUUUAUUUUGUUGAAGAUUACAAUUCUAUUCUAUUUACCCCCAUGCACUAUCCUCUUGUUCCUCCUUUCUGGCUCAUAAGAUGACUAUUGAUGUAUUCUAAGCAUUAAGAAUCCUUAAAAUAGUGAUGAAAAGGACAAAAUAAAUAACCAAAUAUGAUAAAUAAUAAAACUAACUCAAUUCAUAACAAGAGUAACUAUGUUCUUGGUCUUAACCCCGGAAAAGGGCUUCUAGCCAAACAUGGAAAAACCAUAAUUCCAAUAAUAGUAUACUUGUUAAAGUCCAUAAACUAACCAAAGUAAUGGAAUGAAAACCCUAAUUUAGGUUUUUACAGCCUCCCUCAAAGUUUCAAGGUCGUCCAAGGUGUAUAGCAUAAUGUUUAAGGGUCCUAUUUAUAGUAGGACAAAUUUGCCGAUAUGAGCUAAGGUCCACAUUGCGCCCUUUAUCGAGGUGUCUUGGGUCAAUUUAGUGACAUAAUUAUGGAUAAAACUUUAAAUGAUGCCUUAUAAAUAUCCCAAGUCAUAUCAUAGAUCCUAACGUGGUGAAUAAGAUCUGUGGCCAGCCAUUGGCUCCAAAAUAUCUGUUUUAUGUAUCUGUGGCCAGCCAUUGGCUCCAAAAUAUCUGUUUUAUGUCAAAUCUUGCAACAUGCUUUUGUCCAUCCAUUCCAAGCCUUGUAUGCCUGUUUAUAAUUGAUUACCAGAUUUAUUCCCAUCCAUAUACUAUAAUUUUCUACUCAAAAAGAAUUCUUUUGCAUCAAACACCUUGGAUUAGAGCUAAAAUAACACAUAAUCCCAGACGCUGAACUACAAACUUAAGCUCAGAAUACUCGUUUUUUUCCUUUUCAUCAUUAACUUAGUUUUGACUCUUGGCUUGUUUCAAUUGAACAUUAAAUACUAUAAACAGGUUUUUCCACACAUAAUUACACAAUCAUAUCAUUAGUAACUUAUUUUUGAUUAAUCGUGAAUUUACCAUUUAUUUACAUCCAAAACUCAUGCACACUACUAUGAUUUGGAAGUAUAAAUGAGGCAACUUUAUUAAUUGAAUGCAGUAAUUUCCACAUUUUGCAGCUAUAAAGGUGAUGAAAAUGAAAUAUGUGGAAUUGAGCUUAAAAGAGAAGAGAAGUGCAGCUAGAAGACCCUGAGCAAAAAAUGGUCUCAAUUACUGCGAUCACAGUCUGGAGGUCACAAUCAUGGUCAGUCAAGCUAGGUCAAAUGCCAACAAUCGGGGUGAUCAUAAGGCAGUCGUGGUGGCCUCGAUCUCGACAUCUUGGGUUUUUUUCCCUUGGGCAAUUCUAAAUUUUACAUAGCUGACCAUAAUUUCAUAAUAAGGCACAAACCUUUUCCCAUUCGGCAUUACUGAAAUUUGAAUUUAUAUUGGAAAAUUUGUAAACCCUACCAAAUUGGGAAAUUUAGUGUGGUUAAUUUAUAAAUUAGUGUUUCAAUUGAAAUUUUAUAUUGUAUUACUCUUGAUUGCAAACUUUAAUUGAAACAUUGAACAAUCAAUUUGGUAUAUUUCUUUUUCAUAACUUCAUGAGUAGAUAAACAAUUUAUCUUAGAAUUAUGUUGAAAUAGGGUGCAAAUAUGUGUGGGUUGUGAUUUAUUAGUGUAGAUUCUUUGUCAUUGAUUGUGGGUUUCACCAUUGCUUGCUUGAUUUAGUUGGGAUUUGUGGGUGAAAACACCAAUUUCUCAAAAGCUCACAUCAUCCUUGAAAGAGAGAUGUUUUUGAACUUUUGGAAUCUUAUAUCAUCCUUGAAAGAGGGACAUGGGUGACAAGGUAAUUGUGAAUAAUAGUAGAUGUAAUUUUUUUCUCUUUUCACUAUCUUAGAGAUAUGUGUGGAUUAAGGACUAUCUAUAUUUUUAGGCAUCUUCCUAGAAAUAGGGAUAACAAAUUGAGGCAUUAGGUGGUUAUGCUUGUCACAUCCAAGAGGUAUCUGCAAGGAUCCAUGGAUGAUAAUCUUGAGGGGGAAUUGAAAGAUUUGACUCAAGAACUCUUGACCUAGCCUACCCACAUAGUUGAUGACUAGAAUUUGCAUUUAAUUAUCAUGGCCCAUGCAUUAUUUUCCCUUAGGAAGACAUAAUUCCUAGGCUUAUCCUAUAUUGAAAUCUCAACCACAAUAUUCUCUUUAAGUUGGUAGUGUGAUUUGAUUAUUAUCGAAGAACUUUCUAAACUGAUUCCUUCCUUUUUAAUUCAUGCAAUUUACUUUAUUUACACUAUGGGAAUACUUAUACUCUAUUAAUACCUAUAGGUUUUGAGCACUAGACUCACUCCUCGAGUAUUUGACCAAAACGUCAGUUGAGCUAAAUUAAUAAAAAUCAUCCAAUGUCCAAAAAAUGAUAUAGGUGAGUGUAAUAAAAAUGAUGUCAUUGUCAAGGAGUGGGAUUUAGUUUUCACUUGUACGGUCUUGAUUGUAUCUUUGCGUAUACCCGUGGUGAUUUUGAUUCACUUUCUUUGUUGUUUUAGUUCUCUAUUGGUGAAUCCAAUAGUGUCCACAAUACUACGAGUGACCAUGAAAGUAAUGUCGGGACUUUUGAUGGUCCUCUUGAUGACAAGGAGCAAUUCAAUUAUAUUGGACAUACGAGUACCAUUAGUAGCCCACCUAACCAAUGGAAUGGGGUAUUUCACGUUAUGAGAGUUAUGUUGAGUAUGCUUCAAAUAAAAGGUCUCUUAGGGGGGAAAGCCCAUGAGGACCCCAAUUUGCAUUUGAAGAAUUGUAGAAGUUUGUGCCCCCGUUGAUAUUGCACACCUCUUCCAAGAAUUGAUAUGGUUGUCCCUCUUCCCAUUUUCUUAAAAAAUAAGAUGGUAUUGUGGCUACGCUCUCUUCUGGUCGGGUCAAUAACUUCAUGGUAUGAGCUUAAUCUGGCAUUCUUAGACCGAUACUUCCCACCAUCUAAGAUGCUACAACUACAUGAUGAAAUUAGGAAAUUUCAUCAAUUAAAAAGAGAAACUCUAUACGAGGUGUGGCAGAGAUUUCAUGUGAAGCUCAUACAAUGUCCCAAAGGGUGGAGACGCUACAAACUUUCUUGAGGAAGUGACAAAGAAAAAUUAGGGAUGUCUUACCUAAGACACCAAGGGUUAUAUAGGGUCUUCUACCACCUCUUAUGUUGAUAAUGAGCUAAGGAAAAGAGAUGUAGAGAGAAGGGAGAACAUGGAAAAACUAAUGACUCAAUUGGAGUUGCUAACGAAGCAUGUGAUGGGUGCACUUAUGAAAAUGGUAAAUGUAAUUUUAUCCAAGAGAUAUGAUGAGAAAGAGACCGAGAGGCUUGAUAAGGUGAUUAGGUAUUUAGGUAACUAUCCAGUGGGUUCCCGCCUGGCCUAUAAAAGCCAAUGAGGGAACCAAGGUUUGAUGAAUUAUGAAAGAGAGCAGGAUUGGCAUGAUCAUUAAAGAUAACAUGAUUGGAGAGAAAGGGAAAGGGAAUAUGACCGAUAUGUGCCUCUUUAUGACCUAUCAAAGAGUAAAGAAUCCAACUUUGUUGAUCCCAAAAAAUUUAGUGAAGGGAUGGACAAAAUGGUCCAUGAAUUGAAAGGAGAUUUUUUGUAUAUCAACCAAAUCAUGGUAUCACACUCUUCUUUGAUCAAGAAAUUAGAGACUCAAAUCGACCAAAUCUCCACUCAACUAAAUGCUAGUAAAAAAGGAGGUCUUCCUAGUGACACUGUUGUGAAUCUGAAAAAUGAUUCCCAAGUAUUGGCCAUUUCCACUAGAAGUGGUAAAACCCUCGGUGAUCUUAUGGUGGAUAUUGAAAAAGAGACCAAUUUUGAUCAACCAAACAUAAAUAAAAAAAUUAUGAGUGAUUGGAAAGAGGAGGCUCUAAAAUCCUAAAGGGGGAAUGGAAAACAACCAAUGCUAAGUGAUGAUGUGGAUGAUGAAGAGGGAGAUCUAAAAGAGUUUGAGAAUGAUGAAGUACAAAAUGAUCCGUUGCCUACCAUGAAGGUUCCUCUUCCAUUCCCUCAAAGACUCUAAAAGAGGGAUGACAAUGUCAAGUUCAAGAAUUUUCUUGCUAAGCUUAUCAACCUACCAAUUAAUAUCCCAUUGCUAGAGGUAAUUCAAGAGAGCCUGAUUGAAGCAUAAAAGUGUAAUAAUAAUAAUUAGAGGCUUUUGUCCGUUGGCAGUUAUCUUACCGGGAUACUCUAAACUUAUGAAGAAGUUAAUGUCAAAGAAAUAUCUUGAUGAUGAUUAAACCGUAGAAAUUACUCAUGGGUGUAGAUCUAUCAUGACUAGAGAUAUAGCGAAUAUAAAAUAGGAUCCCAUGGCCUUCAAAUCCCUUGAACCAUAGGGACACAAAAGUUCAAAAAAGCCUUCUAUGACCUUUCUGAAAGCAUUAAUCUUCUGCCUAUGCAAUCUAUCAAAAACUCGGGUUGCACACUUCUACUAUAACAACAAUGAGGCUAUUGAUGGCAGACUGGUCUAUCAAGAUACCGUUUAGAGUUUUAUUUGAUGUUUUAGUGAAGGUGGAUCUCUUCAUUAAUCGGUGGACUUUAUGGUGCUUGAUUGUGAAAUCGACAAAGAGGUUUCCAACCUUCCCUUGUGACCGGAAGAGCCAUUAUUGGUAUGGAACUAGAAGAAAAGAUAUUUUGGGUCAAUAAUUAUUAAGUAUCCUUUUGGGUGUGCAAAACAGAGAAACAACCCAUGGAGUUGCAAGUAGUGUCCGUCAUUGAUGUUGAGGAAACUGGGGUGAAUAAUGGGUCUAUUGAGGAUCCAACUUGAAAAAAUAAAGGAUGUCAUGCCACGAUGAUAAAUAAGGUGCUAUAUGGGAGGGAACCAACAAAUGCAACAAAAGUGGCUCGUGCUCUUUGUUUUUGAUUUUGUAGAGUAAAGUUUAAUUUUGUUGUUGAUUAUUCCAUGUAUUUGUGGCACUAUGGAGUAUUUUAAUAAGGCUGAACAUGAGAAAGUAUGAAAUUAUUAUGUAGUGGACUGAACAACGGAAAAUAGAGAACAAAAAAGGGCCUCAGUUACAAUGAUUACGACACCUGUUCCACCGCUAUCCCGAUAGACAAUUGUUCGCAAUCGCGGUAAUGCCUGUGUUAAGAGUCUAUCCAAAUGCCCAUUUCCCUCACACUUCCUUUUCAAAUUCCUCUUAAACUACACCUCUAUGAAUUCAUACUAAACAUCCCAAAGGCAUCAUCAAAUCUAUCUUGCAUCCUUAAUCCCAUAUGUGUUUUGAAUACUCUCUUUCAUUGUUUUUAGGUGGUCCUUAGAACACAUGUAUUAGGGAUAGCCUAGAAUUGUGAUUUUCAUUGUAAAAUCAUUUAAUUGUACUUGUGUGGUGGUUCGUUGUUGUGAAUGGUGUGCACUCAUUUGGGGAAGUCUUGAGUACCCAAAAUGCAUUCAAAAGAGAAAGAAAUAUAGUGUACACACCAAGUUCUCGAUCAAAUGCCCAAACAAAAUCAUAUCUAGUUCUUUUCACAUUCUUAUGGCAUGAUCAACUACCUAGGAACCUUGUUCAACAUUUUUAUUGUUAAAUACGGCUUUGGAACAUGAGUUGGCCAUAAAAUUAGGAUUUUAGUUUUUGAAAAAUUUGCUCAAUUUUUCCUCAGAUAUUGUGAUCUCAGUCGUGGGAUAAUAAUUGUGGAUUCGUGAUUGUGGGUCAGUGACCCAUGAUCACCAUAUCUGAGGCUUAUUUCCAUCCUGGGCCAAAAAUCCUAUACUUCUUAUUCUUGCUCAAAAGCCACCAAGUAACCAUCCUAAGGGCAUAUUUUGACAACCUAGCAUAGUUUUUGCAUGAAAAUAUUAAUGAUGAGUGUUGGUGUGUUGCUCUUAACUUUUCCAUGUUUACAUCAUAGGAGUGGCUACUGAAUGUCAAAUUGUGUAUUACGGCGAUCUCUCAAAGAUGAACUGCUACCGGAGAGGGUGAUAUGUCUAGAUAAGGUACCAAAAAAGCUUUUUCCAUUCUGUGACUGACUCAUAACCACUGGGUGGAGAUUCUUUAGACCAUAUCUUUGUUGUGAAAAUAAGUAUUGGGUACAGGAUUUCUAUGUUGAACUAGCAUAGUAUCUUUCUCAGACCAAAUCAUUAAGAUCUGAGAGAAGGAGGUACGAUUUUUAACUUAAUAGAUAAACGAGCUAUAUGGGCUCCCAAAUGCAUUAUGACUCAAUUUGAAACAAAGAGGUAUGAAUCGGGGAGAUGGGUGGCUAAGAAGUUAUGCCUUGGAAGGGAGGUUCCUUGGGCGGUCACCAAGAAGGGAAUAUCCAAGAAUAAUUUCAUAGUGGAGGCGAGAAAAUGGCUACAAAUAAUUUAAAGCCAUAUUUCUCCAUAUGCACAUAUGAUUGUUGUUCUAGACAUGAGAUCAUGGAUGAUUACCUGUAUAGUAGAUGAAAUUUCUUUCAUCGUUGGUCAGCUUAUGAUCUCAAAAAUAAAGUAUUUCAAGACCCAUAGUGGUACGCAUAUCUUAUUCCUUUCUUUAUUUAUUGAGCUAUGCAAGAAAGAAAAGGUUAAGGUAUACCCCAGACACACUUGGGUGCACCCAACAACCCCCAUUUAUCCUCUUAAUAUUUAGGGUAAGAGAGUACCUAGCAGGACAAAAAAGAGGAAGAUUGACUUGGCUAAGUCGAAAGGGGAGAAUACAGACUCAUGCAGCCCAUCCACAGUAAAUGAAUUGAAGUGGUUGAAAUUGUCAUUUUUUCCAAAAAAGAGUCAAAGGAGUAUAGUUAAGAUGGUGUAGAUAUGGAAUCACUUCUAGAGAGUUGGUGAGUGUUGCACUAUUGUUCCUUAAAGUCCUUUGCAUCUUUGAUAUUAUGUUUGAUAUUGAGGGGAGUCAUGAGAAUAGCUUUGUCUAUGUUGAGAGCUACUAGUGGUGUUAAUCAAGUCUGAAGUCAUUGUGAUCAUUUGGUAGUAUAAAUGGGCUUAAAUUUUCAUUUUCAUAUUAAGUAAGAGGUAGUGUUGCUUGGGGAUAAGCAAAGGUUUAAGUUAGGGGUCUUGAAAAGUGGUUAAUUUGCACACUACUAUGAUUUAAAGGUAUGAAUGAGACAACUUUCCUAGUUGAAUACACUAAUUUUCAUAUUUUGCAAGUAUACAGAUGAUGAAAAGUAAAGCUGUGCAAUUGAGCUUAAAAGGGAUAAAAAAGAGAAUAAAGGUGCAUCUUGAAGACCAUGAGUAUAAAAUGGUCUUAGUUACUACUAUCGUAGUCUGAGGGUCGCAAUCGUGGUCAGCCAAGCUAGGUCAAAAGCCAAUGACCGUGAUGAUCUUAAGGUGGUCAUGGUGGCCAAGAUCGCGGGAAAGAUUUUGUGAUCGCGGCAUCACCAAUUUUUUCCAAAGGGAAAUUCUUUAAUUUGACAUAUUAGACCCCAAUUCCCUAAUAAGGCCUAAACCCUUUCCCAUUUUGCAUUAUUGAACUUUGAAAUUGAAUUAGAGAAUUUUUAAAGCCUACCAAAUUGAGCAAAUUUAGUGUGGUUAAUUUUUUAAUUAGUUUUUGUUGUAACUGAAGUUGGAUACUGGAUUACUCUUGAUUGAGAAGUUUAAUGGAAACAUUGAACAAUCAAUUUGGUAUAUUUCUUUUUCAUAACUUCAUGAAUAGCUAAAAAAUUUAUCCUGGGAUUAUGUUGAAAUAGUGUGCAAAUAUGUAUAGGUUGUGAUUUAUUAGUGUAGAUUCAUGGUCAUUGAUUGUGGGUUCACUAUUUUUUUCUUGAUUUAGUUAGGAUUUGUGGGUGUAAACCCAAAAUUCUCAAAAUGGAUUUGUGGGUAAAAACCCUAAAUUCUUAAAAGUUCACAUCAUCCUUGAAAGAGGGAUGUAAGUGAACUUUUGGGAUCUUAUAUCAUCCUUUAAAGAGGGAUAUGGGUUACAAGUUAAUAGUUGUCAAUAGUACAUGUAGUUUGUUCUCUUUUUACUAUCUUGGAGAUAAGGGUGGAUUAAGGACUAGCUAUAUAUUUGAACAUUUUACUAGAAAUAGGGAUGUCCAAUUGAGGUAUUAGGUGGUUAUGCUUGCCACAUCCAUGAGGUAUCUGAAAGGAUCCAUGGAUGAUAAUCUUGAAAGUGACCUAGCUUAACCACGUAUUUUAUGACUAAAAUUUGUAUUUAAUUAUCAUGACCCAUGCAUUAUUUUCCCUAGGAAGACAUAAUUCUAAGGCUUAUCCUAUAGUGAAAUCUCAACCACAAUAGUCGCUUUAAGUUGGUAGUGUGAUUUGAUUUUGAUCAAAGAACUUUCCAAACCAAUUCCCCCCAUUUUAAUUCAUGCAAUUUACUUUGUUUACGAUAUGGGCAUGCACUUUGACGCUAUCAACACCUAUAGGUUUUGAUGACUAGACUCACUACUCGAGGUUUGACCUUAAUAUGAGUUGAGCCUUAUUGACAAUGAUCGUCCUAUAUCCAAACCAUGGUAUAGGUGAGCGUAAUCAAUUACAUACCUUAAAAUCCAUUGAGACCAACUAUAACAACACAUAGCUCAAGCUAGUAACACUAGUUUGCUCCUCUGAACUCUAAUUGACCAAUUUAAUUCCUAACUUUUUUGAAAACACCUUAAACACUGUGAUUAAGUAGUUUAACACUUAGAUUCUAAAUUAUUUAAUUAUUAACACUUUAAGAGCACUAAAAGUCCUCAAAAUAAGGCUAAAUAAGCUCGGAUAACAACAUUGAGGAGCAUAAAUCCACCUCAAAUCACUAAUCUUUUACUUUCGCAGACUAAAAUCCUUUUAGUAGUGGAUAUUAUAAUGACCCUUCAGGUUACUUUUUUUGUUUUCACUUAUUUUCACCGUGAGAGCUUUAAUAUAGCUACCUCAGGUCAUUUGUGACUUGUUGAGACUGAUAGUUCAAUUAUGUACAGAGAUAUGUCUCUAUUUUGAAGUCUCUGUUGGUUCAAAAUAGCCACUAGGAGAAAACAUUGGUAAAAUAAUCUCAUGUUAAAUUUGAUUAUUCUAACAAUUUUUGAAUGUCGAUUUAAGGAUAUGGGGACUCUUGGUUUGGGUCCCGAGGCACCCAAGAUCAUUUUAACCUAUUUUUCAAAAAGCUAAGAAAAUGGAAAAUGAAUAUGGGACCCACAUUUUGUCGAAAUGACCUCAAAUUAAAAUUUUAACCGCACGAUUGAGUCCUGGAUAUCAAAUUUAAUAGGGUAGCAUUGUUCGUUUGCUUAUAAGGGAUUUUGAAUGAAUCUCAAGGUCUUGGUAGCAACUUUUGAAUAUCCAAGUCUCAGCUAAGGCUGGUGCACCAACAAACGCAAGCCAUGUAUCAUAAUAGCAAUCUAUGGCCAAGCCACGAGUUCUACGAAUGCUAUGCUCAUGUUGAAAAAUUGAUUCACCCUCGCAGAUAUUCAAGUAGCGCUAUCAUGAUGGCCUUUUAACAAUUCACGACUUCUGGCCAUUUAGCUAAGUAUCAUGAAUAGUUAUCGAGGGGUCCCAAUUGUGAUACCCAAAUACCUAGGAAGGGUAUAAAUAUCCCUAUUUUAGCCUCUUUUUUUCCCAUUAUUCAUCCAUUUAUAAGAGAUCUAAACCCUAAUUAUUGAGCAAGAUUAGGAUUAUAGCUUGUGUAUGAUUUGGGGAGCUUGGAUAUAUAUUAUUAUAUGAUUCUUUUUCAAAAUUAUGGUAAAAUUUCCUCAUGUUCUUGAUCAAUUUUCCCCUUUCUUUUCUUAAAUCCCUAAACCUUGGUGAGUUGAUUUUAGCACCAAUGUAGCUCAAUUUUCACCCAUUUUCAAGGGUAAUUACUCCUUGAGCAUAAGAGAAUUUUGAGUUGGCUUCGGAAAUGCAACUUCCGUAAAUAGGACCCACAUAGGAUUUUGCGUAAUUCUAGACCCAAAGAAAAAUAAUUCAAUAUGGGUGUCAGUGUUCUUAUUUUGAUUAGUGGAUUGUGAUUUUGAUAGCAUAGCAUCUUGCGAAAGCUUCUCGAAAGGAAAAAUUAAUGAUUUAGUGGAUUUUUUGAGUUAUUUCAUAGUAUGUUUAUGAUAUUAUGUUAAGAUCCGGGAUGUGUUUUAUGCGUUAGUGAUGGAAUUUUCAAUAUUUGGUAUAGUUGGACCUUUUAGGCCAUCGAAAGACUGUAAUUUAGGCAUAAUUAACUUAGUUUCUCAUUUGUUAGGUAAAAUAUCUACGUUAGGUUUUAUUGCAGCUUAGUUAAUAUCUAAAAGUGUAUUAGAUACCUUAGCCUAGUGUGGGGUAGAAUUUUUCUUAUAAUGGAUUUUGAGAAUUUAGAAGUAGCCUCAUUGACCCACCCUAGGCCAAUAUUCGUGUUGACCGUUGUAACCUUUUUAUAUGCUUAUUGAACAACUUGAAAAUGAUUACUGUGGUAAUAUUAAGGAGAAUAUGCACUUUAUAGUUUUGAUGGGUUGGUAUUGGGAGUUGAUGCUUAUUGGUAUUAUAAUACCGAUUCGAGUCCGACUAUAGAUUAUAAUACUGAUGAUAUAUUUACCUGUUUGAGUUCGAGUAUUAUUUAUGAUAAUGAUUAUAAAUACAUAUGAAUUAUUAGUUUGAGUCCGGCCAUUGAUUAUAAUGUUGAUGAUAUUGUACCGGUUCAAGUCUAGGUAUUGAUUGUGAUAUUGAUUGUGUAAUUACUGAUUCAAUUCUUUCAAGGGAAUAUGAUAUUGAUAAUAUGGGUACUGGUUCAUGUCUGGAAAUGAGAAUUGUUUUCAUUUGUCAUUCUAAGACCCUGCAAAAAUCCUAAGCUUAAUUCAGUCCUUUAGAGCUUGAAAAGAGGUCCCAGACUUAGAAGUUUCAGCUAAGUGUUUACACUUAGAAUUAUUUUAGCCUUCAUAAGUUGGCAGUCAUAUUUUUUACGACCCUUUUGACCUUAAAAUAUCACGUUUUAGGUUGAUUCAUGGUCAGGAAUGUUAGUAGUUCACUGUGGGUGAGUUUUGUAUUUUUUUAGACCUCAUUUGAACCAUGAUUGGGUGGCCAAAAUAGUGGGUUGAAGCGAUCUAGAUGCAUCGCAUCGCCCAUCACAUCGACAGAUAAUUUCCCCAACUUUCAAUGCAAUUCCAGUGAACCAACGCAAACUCGAUGCAGCACGUUGGUCAUUGUGUUGAUGCCAUCAAUGCGGUGCGUCGGUCUGUGCAUCACUAGACACAUUUUCAAUCAUUAAAAGCCCACAUCUAGAGGGGUAUUUGGGUUACUAUCCCAACCAUUUUUAGCCCCAAAACAAAUAAUCAAAUGACCCCAGAGGUUAAAUUGCUCACUUUCUGUCAAAUUCUCCCAGAUGUACUCAAGAACAAACACUAGGGCUUUUAAUUACAAGAUAAAAUAUUCAAGAACAAAUCAUCAGUCUUCUCGAAUUAAAGCAUCAAGUUAUGUAAAGUGUUCAUCCUAGGGUUUUCUUCCACCCUUGAAGUUUAGGAAACUCUUUUAAACUACAAGUUAAUUGAUACCAUGAAUUCCAUAUGGGAUUUGAGUGUAUUCAUGAUUAUGAUGUUAAUUGUCUUCUAAUCCAUGGUGUAUUUCAAGUUUCAUGUGAAAUUAUUUAUCAUGUGUAUAGUAUAAUGUGAAUUCAUGUUAAAAUCCCUUGAUUUUUGAAUUGAGAUUUGAAAUUAUGAUGCCUACAUGUUGUUUAGUAUCAUGUUCAUAGAUUAAGUUCCCCUAGUGCUUGAUAAAUUGCUCUAGUGAAUUAAAUGUGAAAGUCAUGACAUGAUAGCAUAUGUGCAAGCUUAUAUCUUACAAGUGUUUAAUAAAAUGUCUCUAUGAGUGUGUUGUGAGCAAGUGAACAUUGCUAUUCUUUUCAAGUUCAUGUUAUGCCUUUCUUUUCAUGUUAUCAAGCCUUGGGGGUAUUCAAUACCUGAAAAUCUAGCUUUUUACCUAGAGUUACAAUAGUUACAGUACAGUCUCAGCUCAGUAUUCAGUUCAAAACAUAGUAGUAUUCUAUCAGUUAGCGGGACCCAGUAAACUCAGUUCAGUUCAGUUAGACAAUAUGAUCAGUAACAGUUCAGUCCAUCCUAGUAAAAUUUAGAAAUCAAAUUAGUGUCUAUUCAGUUGGGAGCAUGAUUCAGCACCAAGUGAACCCAAGGAUGGGGACUCACCUGCCAAUAGAGGAUGUGAUCCUUAGAAGUAGUCCUUACUUUGCAGAACUAUGUAACCAGCAUAGGUUGAGACAUCAACCUACCAGUUGAGGAUUGAUGAGAUGUUCUACCUAAUAGUAGAGGGUACCACCAUUCUCGUUUAGAGCAUCUUCCAGAUGAGGGUGACUCAGCACUUGUAUUUACCAAUAGCAUGGUACUGACACCCUUCCAAAUAGGGUUAUAGGCUGGACUCCGACCAGUUUAGAGAGAUGAAUAUCAGUUAGACGAUUACCUCAAACAGCUUUAGUUUCAAUAUCAGUAUAUAACUCAGCUCAGUUCUACAAAACUAGGACUGUCAAAUAUAAUUAUCCAACUCAGCAUAGAACUCAGUUCAGUUCUACAGAAUCAGGACUGUUAAAAAUAGUCUCUCAAUUAAUAGUAAUUCAGUUAUCAGUAAACUCAAAUAUUAGUCAUUCAGUUAUUAGUUAUCAAAACUCAGUACCCAGUGUUAACAUGAUCUCAGUUAUAACAUUCGUAUUUAUAUGCCUAGUGUCACAUAAUCAAUAUAUAUACUAUAGUCUCACGUAUACAUGUACUCUCACUAAGUUAUAUUCAUGUUACUCAGGAAAUUAUUGUUCAUGCAUAUGAACCCAUGAAUUCAUCCUUACCUCACUUAGCAUACCAGUACAUUCAAAGUAAUGACGUAUACCUUCCUUUUGGUCUAUAAUGUCUUAUAUCAUAGUUUCACAUGCACGAUCUCCCUAUCGCACUUAGCAGUCCGCCCUUCAGUAAUAAACUUAGUGGUGAAUCCUAAUAGUUUGAGGACAAAUUUUUUAUUUUAGUAUUUCAAUACAUUUUUAGUAGUUGGAGUUAGUUGGGGGCUGGUCCCAUCAACUCUACUUUCAGACAAUUCAGUUAGAGGCUUAGCAAACUUGAUUAUUUCAGACAGACGUUCAAAUUUCAGUUUUUCAUUAUUAGUAUUUGAUGUUCAGGUGAACCUUAUGGAAAUAUCAGCCCAAUUACUGCAUUUUAUUAUUAUUAUUAUUAUUUAGAUGUUGUCGCAGGUACCAUUCAUGGGGUAGCUUGUAGUACUUUGGGAUUAUGAGCAUUGUGUGAUAUCCGGGGUGCAGAAUCGAGGCAUAACAAACUUGGUAUCAGAGCCAAGUUCAACAGAGUCCUAGGAAGUCUAUAAGACACAUCUAGUAGAGUAUUGUACAUGGGCGUAUAGUGCGCAACACUUAUGGACAAGAGGCUACGAGGCAUUUUAGCAAAAGUUUCACUUUUAUCAGUAUUCAUAUCAUGCGAGUGAGCAUGAGCUCAAGUUACUGUCUCUGUCUAAUCCUUUCUUACUUCUUCCUACAGAACAUGCCUCCCAAAAAGAACAACAGAAGAAGAAUAGGAAAUCAGCCAGCACUCAGCCCAUUCAAGCAAAUCCCCUAGAUAAGCAUGUCUCCCAUGCUGAAUUCAGAGCUACUUUCACUAUCCUAGCCAAUUCCAUUGUCUCUCAUAAUGAAUUCCCAACUGUUCUUCCUACUAACCCAGUGGAAAAUACUAUUGUAGCUAGAAUUUAUCACUUCACCCGAAUGAACCCUCCAGCUUUUAUUGGGUCUAAGUCAGAUGAAGACCCAUAAGAAUUUCUUGACCAGGUGCAGAAAGUCAUAGGUAUUAUGAGGGUGACAACUAGUGAGAGUGCUUAGUAGGCUGCAUAUCAAUUGUAGGAAGUGGCUAACUUAUGGUUCAAGUAGUGAAAGGUAGAGAGGGCCGUUGAUGAAGGGCCCAUAGAAUGGAAGGAGUUUUUCACUGCUUUUCUGGAUAGGUUCUUCCUAUUGGAGUAGAGGAAAGUUAAGCUAUUAGAUUUUAUUAAUCUGAAACAGGUCAAUAUGACAGUGAAAGAGUAUUCUCUCAAGUUUACUUAGCUAGCCAGAUACGUUCCUCAUGUGGUAGUAGAUAACAGAUCUAAGAUGAGUAAGUUUGUGUCUAGCAUGUCUAAUAGUAUGGUCAAGGAGUGUAGGACCACAAUGCUGAUUAAGGAGAUGGACAUAUCUAGGAUCAUGGACCAUUCUCAACAUAUAGAAAAGGCUAAGAAUAAGGAGAAGGAGAGGGAGAAUAAGAGAGGUAGAAUAGGUAGCUUCAACCUCACUCAGCCUAAGUUAGAAGGUGGAAAUCGUUCUCAGUUCCACCUGAAAUCAUCAAUUCCAGCUUCGUCCUCAGCUAGUUCUACAGUGCCAAAAUUUAGAGAUGGCAAUAAAGAUAGGGCACCAGGCCCUAAACCUCAAGGUAUUGUUAGCAGUUCCAAAACAAACCCUCUUUGCUAGAAAUUGGGUAGAAACCACCAAGGUAUCUGCAGGGCUGGUAGUGAUGUAUGUUUUGGAUAUGGCAAGCUAGGCCAUAGGGUCAAACAUUGUCCUCAUUCAGGUUUUGAGGGUAAGUAUAAUUGUCCUUCAGCUCAGUCCGAUCACCUGAAUCAGUAGGAUGUCACUUCCAGUGCCACCAGUGGGCAGCGCCCAAACAGGCUUUGUGCACUUCAGUCCCGAAAGGAUCAAGAAAGUUUUCCUGAUGUGGUCACUGGUACAUUACAAGUUUAGUGUUUCCACAUUUAUAUUUUGGUAGAUCCAGGAGCUUUUUUGUCCUUUGUAGCUCUUUAUAUAGAUGCUGACUUCGAAGUCAGUCCCAAAAUCCUAGUAGAGUCCUUCUCAGUCUCUACUCCAGUGGGUAAAUCUAUCAUAGCUCGAUGGGUAUACAAGAACUAUCUAGUUAUGGUAUCUCAGAAAGUCACUUCAACAGCCAUAGUAGAAUUAGAGAUGACAAAUUUUGAUGUCAUUCUCUUUAUGUAUUUGAUUCAUUCAUGAUAUGCUUCAGUUGACUGCAGAAACUAAAUUUUCCAUUUGUAAUUUUUGAAUGAACCUGCCCUUGAGUGGAGAGGUAGUACUUCAGGACUUAGGGGUUAGGUUAUUUUUUACCAUAGGGAGAGAAAAAUGAUAUCUAAGGGAUGUAUCUAUCAUCUUGUUUGAUUUUAAGACUCUAGUUUAGAGACCCCUAAUAUGGAGUUAGUAUCAAUAGCAUGUGAAUUUCCUGAUGUGUUUCUUGAAGAUUUUCCUAGGAUUCUUCCCAAAAGGGAAAUUGACUUUGAAAUUGACCUUUUUCUAGAUACUCAGCCUAUAUCUAAUCCACCAUACAGAAUAGCACCUUCAAAACUCAAAGAGUUAAAAGAACAGUUGAAAGAUCUCUUAGAUAAGGGGUUCAUCAGACCCAGCAUUUCCCCGUAGGGUGCACCAAUUUUAUUCAUGCAAAAGAAAGACGGUUCUCUCAGGAUGUAUAUGAACUUCCGUCAGCUAAAUAAAGUCACAGUCAAGAACAAGUAUAUAUUUCUUAGAAUUGAUGACUUGUUUGACCAAUUUUAGGGUGACAGUUACUUCCCUAAGAAAGACCUCAUAUCAGUCUAUCAUCAGCUAAGAGUUAGAGAAUGUGACAUUUCAAAAAUAGCUUUCAGAACUCUUUAUGGCCACUUUAAAUUCUUAGUCAUGUCAUUUGGUCUUACCAAUGCCCUAGAAGCUUUCAUGAACUUGAUUAAUUGUUUGUUCAAGCAGUACUUAGACAUGUUCAUCAUAGUCUAUAUCGAUCAUAUUCUUGUCUACUCCCACAGUGAACAUGAUCAUGCAGACCACCUGAGAAUAGUGUUCCAGACCCUCAGAGCCCAUCAGUUAUUCGCCAAAUUCAGUAAAUGCAAAUUUUUGCUAAUUUCAUUAGAUUUUCUUAGUCAUAUAAUUUUUGUAGAUAGCAUUAGAGUGGAUUCUCAAAAGACCAAAGCAGUAAGAAACUAGCCUAGACCUAUCUCUCCAUCAGAUUUUAGGAGUUUCUUGGGUUUGGUUGGCUAUAACCAAUAGUUUAUGGAGGGAUUAUCAUCUAAUGCAUCUCCCAUAUCUAUAUUGACUCAGGAUAAAGUCAAAUUCUAGUGGUCAGAUGCUUGUGAGAAGAUUUUUAAGGAGUUGAAGAUUCGACUCACUACAACACUCAUUUUGACUUUACUAGAUGGCUCAGAUAGGUUUGUGGUAUAUUGUGAUGCUUCCAGAGUUGGUUUAGGGUGUGUUUUAAUGCAGAGAGCUAAGGUCAUAUCCUAUGCCUCUAUAUAGCUUAAGCCCCAUGAAAACAAUUAUCCAACUCAUGAUCUUGAGUUAGCAGCUAUUUUUUUGCCUUAAAGAUUUAAAGACAUUAUUUAUAUAGUGUACAUGUGGAUGUGUUCACAGACCACAAAAGCCUAUAGUAUGUGUUUUCUAAAAAAGAUCUGAACCUUCAACAGAGAAGGUGGUUAAACUUGUUGAAAGACUACAACAUGAGCGUCAUGUAUUACUCGGGCAGGGCCAAUAUAGCGGAUGAUGCUCUCAGUAGGAUGUCCAUGGGUAGUGUUGCUAACAUAGAGGAUAAUAAGAAUAAGUUAGAUCAAGAAUUUUAUCAGCUUGACUGACUAGGUAUCCGCUUAGUCGAUUAUGCAGAGGGAAGUAUGUGGGUGUAGAAUAGUUCAGAAUCAUCUCUGGUUUCUGAGGUAAAAGAAAAGCAGGAUAGAGAUCCCAUUCUAGUCAAGUUAAAAGAGUCAGAGAUCAGAAGGUAGAGGUUUUCUCCUAAGGGGAAGAUGGUGUUUUAUGUUGCCAGUCUCAGUUAUGUGUGCCAUGUGUAGAUGACUUGAGGUAACCAAUUCUUACAAAAAUGUAUGUUGCAUGUUACUCUAUUCAUCCCGGGGCCGCUAAGAUCUACCACAAUUUACGAGAGAUCUAUUAGUGGAAUGGGAUAAAGAGAGAAAUUACAGAGUUUGUAUCUAAGGCCUCAACAUAUCAGUAGGUUAAGAUCAAGCAUCAGAAGACUAGUGGUUCCUUGCAAGAGUUCAGUAUUCCCAAGUAUAAGUGGGAGAAAGUGAACAGAGACUUUGUGAUUGGUUUGCCUCGUACUCAUCAUCAGUACGAUUCUAUUUGGGUCAUUGUAGAUAGGAUGACCAAAUUAGCUCACUUCUUAUCAGUUCAUACCUCUUAUACAGCUGAGGAUUAUGCCAAGCUUAUGUUAGAGAGUUUGUCAGAUUGCACGAAUUUCCAUUGUCCAUUUUCUCAGAUAGAGAUACCUAGUUCACCUCUCAUUUUUGGAAAGCCUUCCAAAAGGGUCUAGGUACCUAAGUUCACCUUAAUACAGGCUUCCACCCUAAGAUAAAUGGUCAAUCAGAAAGGACCAUCCAGACUCUAAAAGAUAAGCUAAGGGUGUGUGCCAUUAACUUGAAGGGUAGUUGGGAUUACCACUUGGCCUUAAUUGAGUUAGCCUAUAAUAAAAGUUAUCAUUCCAGCAUUCAGAUGGCUCCGUUUGAAGUGCUUUAUGGGAGAAGAUAUAGAUCUCCUAUUGGUUUGUUUGAAGUAGCUGAGGUCGCAGUGGUAUGGCCUGACUUGGUAUUUGAUGCCUUAGAAAAAGUUCAGUUGAUCAGGGAAAGACUUAAGAUAGCUUAGAGCCGACAAAAGUUAUAUGCAGAUAAGCGAAUAAAGGAUAUCGAGUUUGAGAUUAGUGAUUAUGUGUAUUUAAAAAUCUCUCCUAUGAAGAGAGUAAAGAGGUUUGGCAAGAAGGGGAAUCUUAGUCCCCAAUAUGUCGGUCCUUAUCGAAUUCUCAGCCAUUUUGAAAAGAUAGUUUAUGAGCUUGAGCUGCCUUCAGACUUUGCUUCAGUACAUCCAGUGCUUCAUGUCUUUUUGCUAAAUAAAUGCACAGGAGACCCUGUUGUUGUAGUCCCUAUAGAGGUCAUAGAUGUUCAAAAUAGCCUCUUUAAUGAGGAAAUCCCAAUCAUAAUUCUCAAUUUUUAGGUUUGCAGAAUAAGGAACAAAAAAGUCCCUCUAGUCAAAGAUCAUUGGUAGAAUCAGUGUCUUGAGGGAGCUACGUGGAAACCAGAAGAAGAUAUGAAAACCAAGUAUCCUCACCUCUUCUCUGCAAACUCAUACUCAGCUUAAGGUAAUAGUCUUCAUUAGAUUUGCUCAGCUCCAUGUUCAUUUAAAGUUACAAAUUUGGUAUCAUUAUCGUUGUAUAUCACCUUCAAUAUAGUCAUAAAUUUAUGAACCAGUUCAACCAUGUACUCAUGCAUUAGAUAUGUAUGUUCAAUUUGAAAACUCAGCUUAUCGGUGAUUUCAGUUAUGUAUUUCAUGCAUCAGAUAUGCAUAUUCAGGGUGUAAGCUAAGUCUACCAGUGUUUCUCAGCUUAGGAAGCCUCAUUCGAGGAGGAAUGUUCCCAAAGGGGAGAUAUUUUAAGAUCCUGCAAAAAUCCUAAGCUUAACUCAGUCCUUUAGAUCUUGAAAAGAGUUCCCAGACUUAGAAUUAUUUUAUCCUUCAUAUGUUGGCAGUCCUAUUUUUUAUGACCCUUAUGACCUUAAAAUAUCAAGUUUUAGGUUGACUAAUGGUCAGGAAUGUCAGUAAGUCACUUUGAGUUAGUUUUGGAUUUUUUGAACCUCGUUUGAACUAUGUUUGGCUGAUCAAAAUUGUAGUUUAACGUGAUCUCGACACGUCGCAUCAUCCAUCACAUCUAUAGAUAAUUUCUCCUCGUGUUCAGUGUAUUUCUAGUGAACCAACACGAACUCGACAUGGCGCGUUGGUCAUCACGUUGACUCCAUCGACGCGACGCAUCGACCUACUCGUCAGUGGACACAUUUUCAAUCUUUAAAAGCCCAUAUCCAGAGGGGUAUUUGGGUAAUUAUCCAACCAGUUUUUAGCCCCAAAACAAAGAAUAAAAUGACCGUAGAGGAAAAAUUUCUCACUUUCUUUCCGAUUCUCUCAAAUUUUCUCAAGAACAAACCCUAGGGCUUUUAAUUUCUAGAGCAAAUCUUCAAGAACAAACCACUAGUUUUCACGAAUUCAAGCUUCAAGGUAUGUGAAGCGUUCAUCCUAGGGUUUCCUUCCACCCUUGGAGUUCAAGAAGUUCUUUUAAACUAUAAGUUAAUUUAUUUCAUGAUUUCCAUGUGGGAUUUUAGUGUUUUCAUGAUUAUGAUGUUAAUUUUGUUCUAAUCCAUGAUUUAUUUCAAGUUUCAUGUUAAAUUAUUUAGCAUGUAUGUAGUAUCAUGUGAAUUCAUGUCAAAAGCCCUUGAUUUUUGAAUUGGGAUUUGAAAUUAUGAAGCCUAUAUGUUGUUUAGUAUCAUGUGCAUAGAUUAUGAUCCCUAAGUGCUUGAUAAAUUGCUCACAUGAAUUAAAUGUGAAAAUCAUGACAUGCUAGCAUAAAUGCAAGCUUAUAUAUUACAAAUGUUUGAUCUAAUUCCUCUAUGAAUGAGUUGUGAGCAAGUGAACAUCGUUAUGCUUUUUAAGUUUAUGCUAUGCCUUUCUUUUCAUGUUAUCAAGUCCUUGGGGUAUUCAAUACCUAAAAAUCUAGCUACUUACUAAGAGUUACAGUAGUUACAGGACAGUCUCAGUUCAGUAUUUAGUUUAGAACUUCGUAGUAUUCUGUCAGUCAGUUGGACCUAGUAAACUCAGUUCAAUUAAGUUAGACAACAUGAUUAGUAAUAGUUCAUUCCAUCCUAGUACAUUUUAGAAAUUAGUUUAGUGUCUAUUAAGUUAGGAGUAUGAUUCAUCACCGAGUGAACCCAAGGACGGGGGCUCACUUGCCAGUAGAGGGUGUGCUAAUUAGAAGUAGUCUUUACGUUCCAUAACUAUGUAGUAAGCGUAAGUUGAGACAUGAACCUUCUAGUUGAGUGUUGAUAAAGUGUUCUACCUGCCAGUAGAGGGUACCACCAUUCUUGUUUAGAGAAUCUACUAGAUAAGGAUGACUCAACACUUGUCUUUUCUCGUAGCACGAUACUGACACCCUUUCAGCUGGGGUUACAGGUUGUACCCCAAUUAGUUCCAAGAGAGGAAUUUCGGUUAGAUGAUUACCACCCAUAGUUUUAGUUUCAGUGUCAUUAUAGAACUUAGUUCAGUUCUAAAGAACCAGGAUUGUCAGAUACAGUCACCCAGAUCAACAUAGAAUUAAGUUCAGUUCAACAGAAUCAGGACUGUCAGAAAUAGUCUCUCAGUUAACAGUAAUUUAGUUGUCAGUAAACUUAGAUAUUAGUUAUUUAGUUAUCAUUUAUCAAAACUCAGUACCCAGUGUUAACAUAAUCUCAGUUACAGCAUGUAUAGUUAUGUUCUUAGUAUCACAUAAUCAAUAUAUAUAGUAGUCUCACGUAUACAUGUACUCUCAUUAAGUUAUAUUCAUGUUACUCGGCAAGUUAUUGUUAAUGCAUACGAACCCGUGCAUUCAGCCUUACCUUACUUAGUAUACCAGUACAUUCAAAGUACUGACGCAUACCUUUCUUUUGUGCUAUGAUAUCUUAUAUUAUAGGUUCAGACACCCGGGCUCCUGAUCGCACUUAGUGGUCUAGCCCAUCACCAGCAGACAUAGUGGUGAGUCCUCAUAGUUCGAGUACAAAGUUGUUAUCUCAGUAUUUCAGUAUGAUUUUCAGUAGCUGGUUAGUUGGGGGCUUGUCCUAUCAACUUUACUUUCAGACAGUUUAGUUAGAGGCUUAUCAGAGUAUAUUAUUUCAGACAGAUAUUCAGAUUUUAGUUUUUCAUUAUCAUUAUUUGAUUUUCAGAUUUGAACCCUAUGGUAAUAUCAACCUAAUUUUUGCAUUUUACUAUUAUUCUUAUUCAAAUAUUGCAGUAGGUACUAGUCAUGGGUUAGCUUAUGGUCCUUCGAUAUUAUGAGUACCAUGUGAUGUCCUGGGUGCAGACUCGGGGAAUUACAGAAAUGACGUGAAAAAUCUAUAUUUGGAUCAUAGAAGUUGAUUAUGAUAGUGGUUUGGGUUAUCCUUUACUUGAUUGUACACUAUGUGGUCCUACAUUGGGUUACUAACCUUUCCGCAGUCAUUGGCUUAUAGAGGCCAAUUUUGUAGUAAGAAAUGACUAUUCUUUAUUUUGUUGUUCUGGUUUAUUUAUUAAAGCAUGUACAACAAUGUGGGAGUUAUUAUUAGGUUUUCCUUUUUUCUUCUCUUAGUUAUGUUAUCUUGCAUUUUAUCAUAUUUAUGUCAUGAUUAAGCUUAGUCAACCGAUGAUGCCUACUGAGUAUCCAUGGUUUCGGCACUCAUACUACACUUCUAUAUCUUUUUGGUUUAAUUCUAAAUACUAUUUUUAUCAUUAAUUCAUAGACCGUGUUGUGUAGAAUUCUGGAGAUAGAGUGAUCUCUUGGAGUUAGAGUUGCCUAUUUCCUUUAAUCUUAUUUCUAUCGAGUCUUUUUCUCUAAAAUGUAUUGACUACUUUAGAACUUAAGUUGUAGUUGUAGUAGCCUUGUACUUGCUCUGCCAGGUAGAGGUAUGGUUUUCUAUGUUUUGGCUACUUAGACUAUUUCUAAUGUCUUUCUUAUUUUCGAAUUGUAUUGUCCAUUUCACCCUUUUUUGGGGAAAUUUCACCAAGUUAACCCAUUGCCUUCAGCUCUGGGUUACGGUUUAGCUUACCUAUUUGUGGGAUAAAGUAGGUGUCAUCAUGACUCAUAAAUCAGGUCAUGAUAAACCGAAUACCUACUAGGAGUAUAAAUACCCACUUAGCCAAAUUUUCACUAUUUUUCAUCCAUUCCCUAGAAUAUUGAACUGUAAAAUGUGGGAAAACUUAGGAGAAUCAUUUGUGGUUGAUUUUAGAGGUUGAGUAAAGUUAAUUUAAGAGUUUCUUCUUCAAAUUUCUGAUAAUAUUCCAUCAAUUUCUUGGUUUAACUCUCCAUUUUUUCUAAAAUCUCUAAAAUCUUGGUGACUUGAUUAUAACACCAAUAGAGCUCAAAUUUCGCCCAUUUUUUAGGGUAAAUGUUCCUUGAGAAAGAAGGUACAUUGUGUUAGUUUCAAAACUGUGAUUCCAUAAAUGGGAUCCACAUGGGAUUUUUACUUAAUUUUGAACCCCAAGUAGAUUAGUCCAAUACUGGUAUCAUUUUUCUCGUCUUGAUGAGUAGAUUGUGAUUUUGAUAGUAUGGCUUGCGAAAGUUUCUCAAAAGGGGAAAUCAGUGGUUUGGUAGAUUUUUUAUGCUUUUCUUUGGCGUCUAGAUAGGCUAGGUUUACCAUCUUCAUACAUUAAGAUAUUUCAGAGUAUACUUAUGAUAUUAUGCUAGAUAUGAGAUGGGAUUUAUGUGUUGGAGGUAUACUUGAAGGAUCAAACUAGUGCCUUGUAGAUACUGCUUGUAGAGAGGAAUGGUAUGUUUCACGUUACAAACGUGAUGUAUCAUUUACUUCUAGUGAUUAUUUGGGGGACAAAAAUAUGAAGACACCAUCCUUAAUUUGAAAAUUUUCAUUGAUGUGUGUAUUCCAUUUAAUAUCGCCCAAAUAUCUCAAUAAUCCAUCUGAUUGUGAAAUUUCCCAUUCUCACUAAUGGGAGAAACACUAUUUUGAUUGUAAAAGUUGCCUAUGGUUUCUACUACCCCAUAUGUUGAAUUAUGAAAGAAUUUUUGGAUCACUUCAUUUAUCCAUCAUGAAUGUUACAAUUUAGGGCUGAAAUCAAUAACUUCCUCCAAUUAAGCAGCAAACUACUCCAUGAGAAUUGACAAGGGUUUAACAAGAAGUUGCUACAAUACCGUAAUCAUGAUGUCCCGAAAAAAUAAUCCUUUUAAUAUUUUAUUAAUCUUUGGAUUAAUUGAACAAAAUAAUGAUGGACAAUGCAUGGAUAUAUCGUAAAUAAAAUUAUGGUGUUUCAAUUGUGUUAUUGGAUCAAGUGACCAACAAAAGUAGAGGUUGGCAUACCAGGGAUACUGAGGUGGACAUAGGGCCCCCCUCUGUAUGUCUUGUGAGCUAAGAACAAAGAAUAAGGACGAGGAUAGAGAUGAGAAUAUGUACCAGGUAUGACAUAAUUAGACCUCCUUAGAAAAAAUGUGAUGGGAGCAGCCUUAAAAGUGAUCAAUUUAGUUGCUUCAAGGGUACAAAAGCAAAUGAGGAUGAUAAUGCUAUUACUAUCCCAUGGCACACACAAAUAUACAUUGUCGUUCGAGUAAAAUUUAUCCCUUUUCAUCCAGAUGUCGAACCCACAGAGACUUAGUUUAACAACACUCAAAUUCUAUUUUUAUUAAUGGGAUUAAAUUAGUGCCAGUGUAACCAAUAAAGUUUAAGAUCUGAAGAUGCUAAAGUAGCCGAUCGAUAUACCAAUAACCAAGUUUUAAGUCAACUGGUGGAAUACGUUUCGAACAAUACAAGAUUAUAAAGUAUUUGAAAUGAUAAUGAGGAGAAAUCUAGGGUCAACGAACUUUUAACAAUCCUACUAAGCUAUACAAUCUUGUUGGUUAAGUUAUUAUCUUUGUUGAUUCACAGGGUUAAUAACAUGACUAUAGUGGUUUGAGCCUCUAGUCGUCUAUCUAAGUUAUCCCCAAACUAUAUUAUUGAGCAGGGAUGCAAGAACUAACUUAAAAACAUUUGUAUGUUUUCCCCUAUUUGAACCAAAUGGAGAGAAUUAGGUUUAUUCCUAUCCUAACUGUAAAUCCUAACUUUAAUUCAUUUAAAGUGUAAGAACACACUAUAUAUAUCCCACGAUCUAAUAUGUUGUUUCUUCUUUUUGGAUCAAAAUAGAAAUAUAAGUUAAUUUUAGAGGUCGCAAAUCACUUGAAUAUUAUAAAAGAAUAUAUGAACAUCUAAACAUGAUGAUAAUAAUAAUAAACGAACUCAAUUAUAAUCUAAAUAUCCAUGUUUGUAGACUCAACCCUAGAAUGAGGGUGUUUAGCCACUCAUGGUUUUACAAUGAAUUCAUAUGUAAAGACAAAAAGAAAACUGAAGUAAAUAAUUAAGAACCCUAAUUGAAGCCUUCCUUAUGUGCUUUUCACUCCUAAAAGACUUCCAAGAUGUUUACAUUAAGAGCCAAGUUUCCUAUUUUAUACUAUGGAAGAUGUUGACCAUUUUUAACCCUUGGGCAUGGCAAAUCCUUUUUCAUAUGAGAUUUAGGGUGUGACACACCCAUAACGUGGAUGCAUACUAGAAUUUGACUUAUAAUUUAUGUCUCAUCGAAAAUCACACACUUAUCUUGUAGCUUUGAGGGCGUGGCACACCUUUAUGCUACAAAAGACCAGUUUUCUUUGUAGUUAACUCCUUCUGUUUUCCUUUAAGUUCAACACUUUGAAUUAUUUUACAACUUUAUUUGAUCUUUUUCUGCUCUUGGUAAUUGCUCCUAGACUCUUACAUGGUCUCUUAUAACAUAAAACAACACUAAUUAGUGCACACAACAUGAUAGAGUCCAUCGAGAUACACUAGAACAACACAUAGCUUUAGAUAGUAACACUAAUUUUCUCAUCUUAAUUCCAUCUGUCCAUUUUGAUUCUUAUCUUGUUUUGAUUGCACCUUAAACACUCUGACCAUGUACUUCAACACAAAUAUACUCAAUUAUACUAUAAAUAACUCAUUAAGCAUAAUAUCCCAUCAUUUUAUCACAUUUUCAAUGCUUAAAACAGAAAAAUAUGUAAGUACUCAGGUCUUUUUUAUUAGAUAUGAUGUGUUUUUAUAUUGUGUAACAAAGUUGGAUAUUAGUUGAAUAAAAUACGAUGAAAAAACUCUAAAAAGGUGAAUUCUCUACCUAGACAAUGAGUCAUUGGGUGAUGCUACAACUCUUUGUUCAAGAUGUAUGGUGAAAAGUAAAUAAAUUUGAGAAGGAAGCUAAAGUUGAAGUUGGCUACGACUUGUAGGGAUUGACUACGAGGGAAAUUUGGCCAAAGUCCUGAAAGUAUACAAUUUUGAGCCAUGUACAGAUGAGGUUGUUAACGAGUUAUAGGAUCUGACUACGACUCAUUGUGACGACCAUUCUUAGUACUAAGAGAAAAGAUUUGAAAGCUAAAAAUUUACUGGACAGGAAACGAGUCCAGAAAAUGACUUGUAUGGAGACAUGGAUGUUCGUCAUCAAAGAGCAUAAAUGACAGGACACAUAGUUGACAAUGAGUUGUCAUCAAUCCAGACGAAUCAUUUCCUGAGGCAUAGCCACUACCGACUUUAUUUUCAUGUUUAGUUUUGGUUAGGAUUUUUAGGUUAUUUAUGAAACUAUAAAUACCCUUUUUAUGCUUUUGUAUUAGUUUAUCCACUCUUUACAUUCACAACACAUUAUUGAUUCUAAGAUUCGACUUUUGAUCUUGGAAUCCUUUGUUAUUGGUUUUAUGGUUCAAUAUUAAUUUGAGAAUUUUGGUUUUUUAAUUAUUCAAGUAUGUUGAUACCCUGAGGGUAGCACCACAUAGUGAGGGACCAAGUCCCUAAAAGUCAAUCACAACCAAUCAAACAAUAGACUGCAAAAAAAAUUAAGGGCAAUGCAGGAAAGAAACACCAUAAAAGGCUUAACGUAGAAACCUCUUUGCUCAUAACACACCCCAAAACUGGGCCAUGUCAUAUGGAUACCUCAAUCCCACAUGAAUCAGAGGUCUCCCCGAUAAUCCAUCACAUUCAUCACAUCAAUCACAAGGGUCGAGUGAAUCUCGACCAUAUAAUAAGAUAGUGGAAACAAUACUAGAAGUCAUAACUUAACAAUUUCUAACCAUUUAAUAAAUAUCAAUACACUAACCAAUAAGUCUGCAGUUAUCCGCAAUACCUCUAUUCAAACUGUAUUUAGAAAUAUAUAUGUCGGGACAAGCGCCCGAUAAUAGCCAAACCAAGUCAAAAUGAGAUGAAGUCUAAAGAUAGGGGACGAGGAAUGAAUGUCUUCAAAAAUAAGGAAGCUCACCACUUCGUAGAAAAUGUAUGAACCGCUUCAAUCACCUAAUCACUGUACAAGAAUAGAAGAUGAUGCUCCGUCCCCUAUGCCAUGUGGAGACACAGCGUCUAGAGAUGGUUAGUAGUUGGAGCGCUAUCAUGUAACUAAAGGAUAAAGAUAAAAUAGCAUCAUUAUUUAACAACAAGUUAUUAAAUCAUAAUAAAUCACAUCCACACACUUAUCCUUAAAUAUAGGUAUAUCACAUGCUAAUCAAGAAAUCAAGAAUAAACAACAUUCUUGAACAUUCAUUCAUUUGACAUGAAGUGAAGGACUCCGACCUUCCAUACUUAGAUUCGACAAUUCUAUUUAGGCAUAGGACUUUAACCACAAUCACAUACAAUUAGACAAAGAACUUUAACAACUCACAUAUUCAUUAGACAAGGACUUUAACAACAUACACAAUCAAUCAAACGAGGGAAUCUAACAACACACGCAUUCCUCUAGGCAAGGGACUCCAACCUCGUACCCAUUCAUCAGACUAGGGAAUAUAACCUUAUUCCAAGGGAAUCUAACCGCAAGCAGUUUUAUUUAGCAAGGCGCAUUAAUCUCAAGAGAUCUCUUAUGCAAUAGACUUUAACCUCGAGCAAUUUAAUUAGGUAAGGAACUCUAACCUCAAGCCAUUUCAUAAGGCAAAGGACUUAAACCUCAAGCUAUCAUAGCUAUCAUUAGUUGACAUUGAGACUUUAACCCUUUGCCCAUGUAUCAACAUUCAUUUCAUACAAUACUAAAGGAAUUUAACCAUAUAGGUAAUUCAACACUAUACAUGCCCUCAUGGUUCUUAGAGGAGCCUUCAUUGCCUGAUCAUUUCAAUAGGCCAUUGCCUGCAUUAACUCCAUCAUACAAUUCAUGUUAUGGUCAUUAAGACCUUCAUAACUAUUCACAUUAUAUUAACCAUCUUAUACCAUAUUCUUACCACACUUAGUUCAUCAGACAAUUCAAAUACAUUAUCAUGUUUAGGGACUUCAACCCCCUAUUUGUCAAUUGACUCAACAUGGUCAUAAAUUAUACAAAACAUAGCUUACAAUGAUUUUAACAUACCAUUCAUCAAUCAUUCAUGCUUAUUGGGAAAUUUCCCUAAUUCAAAACAUAAUCGACAUGUGACUAGACAAUUCACUUAAACAUUUCCAAAACACCUUAUGUGCAUACCUUUAAUAAGACUAUUUUCAUGGAAGAAAUCUUCUAGGUUAGGGUUACUAAAGACCCUUAUGUUAAACCUCACACAACAAUAAUCCACAUAUGAAAAUCAUCAUCAUUGACAUGUAUAAAUAAGAGUCUAAGCAAGAGUCAACAUUAUUCAUCAUUAGGCAACAAAACUCAUUACAUUUGAUUUCAAAAUCACCAUGUACACUUGCUAAUCCAACUAUAAAAUACAUGGGUUUAGAGUUAUUUAACAAGGGGAAGAGUUGCAUGCCUUAGACAACUUGAUUCUCCCAAGCUACUUGACUUCACUUUGCUGCUAGAUGGGCACCGUUGAACCUAGCCUCUAAUCCUUCACGAAUUGUGUUUGAGAGAGAGUUUUGGAUGUUUGAUCCACUUAAACUGUGUUUAAGGAGGCCUUAUACACUUAUAUAGUAAAGGGACUUAGGGUUUAAGGCAUGGAAAAUUACCACAAGCCCUUGGUUAAAAGAUGUAAAAUGAACCUGUGUAGGUGUACAACUCACCUUACGAACGGUACCCUAGGGUACGAGUAGUACCCUGACUUAUACCCUAGGCUUCUCCUAGGUCACCCAUACUAUUAAGGGUACGAUCACACACCCUUUAGUCAUAUCCAAAGUAUAUGACUCAAUCCUUAGCUCAUAUAUACCACCCGUACUGAAAAUAAUGCACUCAAUAGACUCUUGGUUCCAUAAUGACCAUUCACCAAAUCCACCUCUUUCAUUCGCAAUCGACAAAAUUUCCAAUCCAAGAUCCUCACCAGGAUAUCCUAAUAGGAUAAAAAUAUGACAUAUAAACAUCCCUUAAGGGAAUAACCAACGAUGAAUCACCAACAUAUUUUCUCAACAUAGAUACAUGGAAAACUAGGCAAAUGGAGUUCAUACUAGAUGACAACUCUCACUUAUAGGAAACAUUGCCAACCCUCUUCACAAUCAAGUAAGGGACAAUAUAUCAAGGACUAAGAUUCCAUUUCUAACCAAAUUGGACUACUCCCUUCCUGGAGAUACCUUCAAGAAUACUCAAUUAUUAACACUAAACUCAAAGUCCCUGCGCCUCACAGUCGCAUAGGACUUUUGGUGACUUAGAGAGAUUUUCAACCUAUCACGAAUCACCUUCACCUUAUCUAAGAAUUGGUGAACUAAAUAAGGGCCAAGCAGCUUACCCUUGCCAACUUCAUACCAUCUAAUAGGAGAUCGACAUAUCCUACCAUACAAUACCUCAAAAAGGGCCACACCAAUACUAGAGUGGUAACUACUAUUAUAGGCAAACUCAAUCAAGGCAAGUGGCCAUACCAACUACCACCAUAACUAAUCGCACAAGCCCGCAACAUAUCCUCCAAUAUUUGGAUUAUGUUUUCUGCUUGCCUAUCUGUUUGUGGGUGGAAGGUGGUACUAAGGCAUACUCUAGUACCCAAACCAUUUUAGAAAGACAUCUAAAAGUGGUACGAAAAUGAAGGACCACAAUCCAAGCUAAUAGAAACCAGAGCACUGUGAAACUUCAUGAUCUCUACAAGAUACAACUUAGCAUAAUCUUCCAUCGAGCAAUUUGUCCUCACGGGUAAAAAGUGGACGACUUGGUCAUUCUAUCAAUAAUGACCCAAAAAAUAUUAUAUUGAUUUCAAGAUUUAGGGAGACCGGUAACAACAUCCAUACUAAUUUCCUCCCACUUUAAUUUGGGCAACACAAUUUCUUCUUACAAACCACCGGGCCUCAUAUGCUCAAGUUUCACUUGUUGACACACCAUACACUUUUCCACAUAGCGAGCCACAUCAGGUUUCAUAUUGAUCCACCAAUAGAACUUUAUAAAAUCAUACAUCUUGGUGGAAGUGAAUGUAUAGCAUACUGAGAUUGAUGAGCCUCGACCAUAACCCUUUCCCUCAAUCCAUCGACAUUGAGAACACAUAGUCUACCUUGGUAUCUCAAGAUACCAUCACCACCAAUCACAAAGUCUAUAACUUUUUAUCAACCCAUAUUACUCUUGAUCUUCAUCAAGUUAGGGUUCAAAGCAUGCUUCUUUUUAUUUCUCAACAACCAAAGAUAAUUGAGAUAGCAAAAGCACAAAUACACCACCAUUCUCAAAGUCCGCAAAUCAAACUCCAAGAUUAGCAAAAUAGUGAAAGCCCUUCACUAUUUUCCGCUUAUCCUUAUCUAUAUGGGCCAUACAUCCAAUGGACAAUCUAUUAAGAGCAUCAGCGACUAUAUUUUCAUUACCGAGAUGGUAAGAAAGACUCAUAUCAUAGUCUUUCAAUAACUCGAGCCACUAACUUUUCAAAAGAUUUAACUCCUUUCGGGUAAAAUCAUAUUGAAGACUCUUAUGAUCGUAAAAGAUAUCAACAUGAACCCCAUAAAUAUAAUAACACCAAAUACAUAACGCAAAAACCACGACUAACAACUAUAGGUAAUGAGUAGGGUAGUUUUUAUCAUAAACUUUCAAUUUCCUAGAAGCAUUUUGUUAUUGAAAUUAUUAGGGGCUGAGAAUCACCUCUAGGCAUUUGUAUUUAUUCCAAAAUACCUGACCUCCAGUAUCUACAUACAUUUUGUGACUAAAUAAAUUGAGAGUGAAACAAGGAAUACUAUGCACUAUGAUGUGUUGUGUGUUAUACAUUGAAAAACUAUGGGGGUUUGUAUAUACAUUUUGAUCUCCUUCUCCUGAAACUUGGACCACCUAGCUUGUCUAUUUGUAGAUAUCCCUUUGCUUCUGAUGGGAGUUAGUUGUAGUGGAAAUAAUGCUAGGGAAUAUCAAAUUGGUGACUGUGCUUAGAUAGAGAGUCUGCUACAAACUUAACUCCCUAUAUGCAUGUCUGCACAUACAAUACUGAAAUUGAGAAAUGAGGCUGAGAAGAGAACCAAUUAGAGUUCGUAGAUGCCAAGGGAUGCUUGCUGAGCCCUGCUCCAUCGAACAAGUAGAUCAGAGUCAACCUACAUGAUUACUUGAUGCAUGCUAUUAUAAACCCUAAAGACCAGCCUCCACUUCUAUUUGGUUGUUUGUACCAUGACCAAGGAGAGUAGCAUAUACAUAAAUAAGGUCCAUAUGUUGGUCCCUAAUGACACCUCCUACUCCUAUUCUACCUGGAUUAAAAAGUGCACUGCCAUCAAAAUUCAAUUUGACUAUUUUAGCAGGGGGUUUGGACCAGUUUACAGGCCUCAAAAUAGUCUCCUGUCUAUAUUGUUCCAUCAGAGAGAACAACUUGGUCCAUUCAGCCAGCCAAGAGAUAUAAGGAAAAGCAGAUGCUAACAGCUGAAAAAUAUCUUUGAAUAUUACGAGCUUCACCUUAAAAGAUUGAGACUUCUUGCCCCCAUAUAUAACUGCACACCUGUUCUUCCAGAGGUUCCAACAAAUAAUGAUAGGAAGGGUCUUAGUUACCAACAAAUAAACACCAUUAAUUACCUUCAAUGUCCACCAAUUCUUUAGUAAAUUCACAAAUGAAGUUGAAAUAUGAAAAAUUCCUAGGGAUUAGGAAAAGAAUUGCGAAAUACACCUUUUAAAUUGACCAACAACAAAAAUAUGAUGGAUAGUAUCAGUACCAGGAUUGUGACAGCAAACACAAUCAACCGAAUCAAUACUAAAUUUUUUGGGACAUUUACUAGUAGGCAGUUUCUUCCUCAUGGCUCUACAUACAAGGAAAGAGCAUUUAAAAGGGAUAAACUUAUUCCAAGUGUAUUUAUCCACUAUGAUAACAAUAGUAUGCUCCCUUAUUACCUCCCAAGAAGAGAAGUAUGAAAAUUAUCCACUGCCAGUUAGCAUUCAGAUAGGUUGAUCUUUAAUUUCAUCCUGGUACUGAACUGAAAUUCUCAAAAUCCUUUGCAUAAUAUAAGGUUGAACAAUACUUGUUAGUUUCUGAAGAUUCCAUUGCCCCUCAGUCCAGAAGGAUGAAACUCUUACAUUAUUUGACCUUACACCACUAGAUCAGAGGCAAUAUAAUGGCCCCAGACCUCUCCAAUUGUCCCACCAGAAAUAGCAAGCACCAGAGUUGAGUCUCCGAAAAAUAUUCUUCUCUGCAUCAUUCUUAAUUUUAAUCAUAGUUCUCCAUAAUAGGGAUUGUCCAUUGCAACAUUUCCUGGUGAUGUGUCAGCCGAUGCUAACAUAUUUGAAGCUUUUAACUCUGAAUAAUUAUGAAGUCUUAAUCAUCUUUUGUCGUUUUUGAUCAUUUUUGUAUAUGAAUGUAAAUACAAGUGAUCGGGGAGGAAACCAAAGGAAAGAAGAAUAAAAUAGUUAAAAUCUGGGGGAAAUAUGCUGAAAUGUAUUUGACAAUCAUUUUGAAGCGUCGUCAUACAUUGGACAGGCUGUCAAAGUCAUCGUUAAGAUUAGACAGAAUCUGAGAAGAUUAGAUGAACUAUGACAAUGAUUCGGAAGGGCUAUGAAAUAUUUGACAUCUCAUCAAAACCACCGUCAACAAGAAGGCAGAGUAUGCUGAUUUCCAGUGAAGUGUGACGCUAGUUUGCAAGAGCCGUCAAGAUCUUUGACACACCAUCAGGAUUACCGUCUGAAGAGUCAGAAGAUAACAAUUCACUGGAUUCUUUGACAACAUCUCGCACACAUCGUUAGGUGUUUGACUCGCCGUCAAAAGCAUCGUUGUCUAAUCCAAAAAGAAAACUGAAACAUUAAUUUGAUUUCCUUAUUUAGGGUUGACUUUUUAAAUACUUGUUUUAGGGUUUUUAAAGAUUAUUAUUGGUCAUUAUCUAUCAGACAUUAACUCUGAGAAGAGAGGGAUGUACAUUGCUCUCUUUAAUCGAUUAUGCUUCUUGUUUCUUAUCAACUAUUUUUGGUUUUCCACCUUGUGAUUAAAUUGAAAGAACUACUUGUUGUUUUUCAUCCAUUCGUAAGUUGAUCCUUAUCAUCAUGAAUUCAACUUCUUAUUUCGUUCAUCAAAUCAUAAGCGGCUAAUUCCAUUAGCCGAAGUUAUGAAAUUCAUGGAUUAGGGUUUGAUAUGAUACUAGUUGUUUAACGGAUUCAAAAAGUAGUAGAACAUCUUACAAUUCUAUUGUUUUAACUAAAAUCUAGUGGUUGCAAACAUUAGAUCAUGCCUUAGGUUUUAUUUGCUUCUAACGGAGAAAUAUACUAGGGGUCGUGAAUUAUCAACAGGGACUCGGAAGCUACCAACCUUCUGUUUAAUGAUUGAUGCCGUAACUGGAUUAAUCUACCUGAGAUGACAUCCUACUGGAAAUAGAUAAGUUAUCUAAGAUCCAGAGAAUUAGAUAAUAAAUGUUCUGGUGCAGUCAAGAGAUAAGUCAGAAAGUAUCAUAGUCAAGGAUAGUCUUCUGUUCUACAUACUUCAAGAAUCCCAAUCAUUACCUAGUAUCUGUCAACUCCCAAACGCCAUGGUGAACAUAACUAAGGUCAAAAUUCUAAGUGCUCAAAGUGCAUCAACUAUGUGUCGACACUCAGGUAUGAGAAAAACUUCAACUUCAUCUUUUUUUGGAUCAAUUAUGAAUAAGAGACCUUGGUUUCAAAGGAGUGAGCUUAAACCAUUGGCAUUCUUCAAGCUCCAUCGAAAACUAGGGUUUGUAGGAGAAUGCGGUAUAAUUCUAUGGAAAUCUCAGUAAAGACUUUGGUACUUCGGUAUAAAGAUUAUGACAUCUGUUAACUCCCAAAAUCCAUGGAGAACAUAACUCUGGUUUCCCAUUUAUCUUGAUUACAAACACUGAAUUAGUGAAAGUGACAUUUGAUUUUCUGUGAAACUUAAACCCCCAUCUUUUAGAAAUAGUAAACUAUCAGUAAGGCAUUUUGUAAACAAAUUGAAGUUCACACCCGAUUCUCUAUCGGAUUCGACCCCAACCUAGUUGGGUUUUAUGUUGACAACGACCGCUUACACCCAUUCAAUAGUGUAAUUUAAGUAUUAUCAGGCACUAGCAUGGUAAAUAAAUAACCUAUAGAAAAUAAAUGCUUGAAACGGAUCAGUAGUGAUGUGAUAUAUACUUGAGUGCCAUGUGUGUGUAAUGUCUUACUCAGUUCCCAUUGUGCGUUGAAUCUAGAACUUGCCCAUUUAGUCAUGCCAUAGUCAUAGGAUAGGUCGUUUUUGCAUGUUAACCCAUUUUAGCUUAAAUCACUAUCCAAGUGUGAACAAUAUCCCUUGAUCCCUUUUUGAGCCUAAAUAGCCUAAUUAUUUCUUGUACACCUUUCACCUUCCCAUUACAUCACAACGAACUUGUUUUGGCCCUGGUCCUCCUUGGAUACUGUGCACCUUGACUUAGGCAAAUAACCUAAGUUGAGGGUGGAUACUAUAGGGGUGCAUGAUGCAUUAUGAGUAUGAAGAGAUGUAAAAUAAGGAAAAUAAAUAACAAGUUGGGUGUAGUAAAAAAACAAAUAGAAAAGAGAAAACUAAAAAAGUUGAUCUAAUGCUUGAACAGACAGCACCCAUCUUGAGAAUACUUGACAAAUAAAAGAGGGAAGAAAAGAAGGUCAAAAGUUGAAACCCCAUAAGUUAAUUUAGUGGCAAGGAUGUGUAGUCACUAUGACAUACCCUUGAAUGUCAUACCAGCCCCUAGCCUACGUUACAAGCUUAGAAAAUCCCUAUAGUGGUCCUAACUGACUUAUCUGAAGACUUCGGUACUGACUAUACGGGCAAGCCUAUGGCAAUCGAUGUGCAAUGUUGGAACAUCAUUCUGAGAGUGAGUAUUAUGUUCAUCCCUAUGUUAAUACUUGUAAAUCUAAAUGAAAAGGGAUUUCUUUAUUCUGAGGGCACACCAGGUAUGUUGCUAUCAACUGCUUUGUUCGAAGAAUUUAAUUUGGGUAUGUGCUAGGUUGUUAUUGCUGAGAUUUUUACCAUAUCUAUAUUUUUGUGAGUUACAUGGUUGUUUUAAAAUAUUAGACACAGUUGAUUUUAUUUUGAUUGAUCAUGGAGAUGUGCAUGCAUUUAGAACUGAUAAGAGUAGUUAGCUACCGAAUUGUAAUUUGUUUACUCCUAGUUAUGUUUUGGUUGCUUGAGGAUAAGAAUUUUUUUAAGUUGAGGGUGUUGAUGUGUGAGCCAAUGCUAACUUUGAAGCUUUUAACUCUGAAUAAUUGUAAAGGAAAAAAGAAUAAAACAGUUAAAAUCUGGUGGAAAUAAGCUGAAAUAUAUCGAACGAUCAUUUUGAAGCGCCGUCAUACAUGGGACAGGCUGUCAAAGUCAUCGUCAAGAUUAGAUGGAACCUGAGAAGAUUAGAUGAACUGUGAUGAUGAUUCGGAAGGGUCAUCAAAUAUUUGACAUCUCGUCAAAAUCUUCGUCAACCAGAGGACAGACUAUACUGAUAUCCAGUGAAGUGUGACGCCAGUUUGCAAGCGCCGUCAAGAUCUUUGACAUACCAUCAGGAUUACUGUUUGAAGAGCCAGAAGAUAACAAUUCACUGGAAUCUUUGAUGACAUCUCGUACAUGUCUUUAGGUGUUUGACACGUCGUCAAAAGCAUCGUCGUCUAAUCUGAAGUGAAAAUUGAAGCUUUAAUUUUAUUUCCUUAUUUAGGGUUGACUAUUUAAAAAAUUGUUUUAGGAUUUUUAAAGAUUAUUAUUGGUCAUUAUCUAUUAGACAUUAACUCUGAGAAGAGGGGCACGUACAUUGCUCUCUUUCAUCAAUUAUUCUUCCUCUUUCUUAUCAACUAUUUUUGGUUUUCCACCUUGUGAUUAAAUUGAAGGAACUACUUGUUGUUUUUCAUCCAUUCAUAAGUUCAUCCUUAACAUUAUGAAUUCAACUUGUUAUUUCGUUCAUCAAAUCAUGAGCGGAUAAUUCCAUUAGCCGGAGUUAUGGGAUCCAUGGAUUAGGGUUGAUAUUAUGCAAGGUGUUUAACGGAUUCAAAGAGUAGUAGAACAUCUUGAAAUUCUAUUGUUUUAACUAAAAUCUAGUGCAUUCAAACAUUAGAUCAUGCCUUAGAUUUUAUUUGCUUCUAACAGAGAAAUAGACUAGAGGUCAUGAAUUAUGAACAGGGACUCGAAAUCUACCAACCUUCUGUUUAAUGAUUGAUGUCGUAACUGGAUUAAUCUACCUGAGAUGACAUCCUACUGGAAAUAUAUAAGUUAUCUAAGUUCCAAAGAAUUAGAUAAUAAAUUUUCUGGUGAGGUCGAGAGAUAAGUUAGAAAGUAUCAUAAUCAAGGACAUUCUGUUGUUCUACAUACUUCAAGAAUCCCAAUCAUUACCUAGUAUCUGUUAACUCCCAAAAGCCAUGGUGAACAUAACUCUGGUUUCCCAUUUAUCUUGAUUACAAACACUGAAGUAUUGAAAGUGACAUUUGACUUUCUGUGAAACUUAAACACCCAUCUUUUAGAAACAAUAAACUAUCAGUAAAUUAUUUCGUAAACAAAUUGAAGUUCACACCCUAUUCCCUGUGGGAUUCGACCCCAUCCUAGUUGGGUUUUAUAUUGACAACGAUCACUUACACCCAUUCAAGAGUGUAAUUUGAGCCUUAUCACCUGUCUACAUGGUUUAUUCUGUGACAAUAUUUAGCUCUAAAAAAAUUUCCCUAAAGAGUUUCCUUAUUCUCAAACACAACCAUUGUUUGAGCGCAUGGCUUUACAGAUAUCAUCCAUAUGUCUGAUCCCAACACCACCUUCAUUGUAUGGAAGCUCACCACUCCAUAGUUAAUGCACAAACUGCUUCAAUCACCUAAUCACUAUGCAAGAAGAGAAUAUGAUGCUCUAGCCCCUGUGUCACAUGGGGGCAUAGCAUUCAAAGUCGAUUAGCGGUUGGAGCAUUAGCAUAUAACUCAAAGAUAAGGAUAAAAUAGCAUUAUUAUUCAACAAAAAGUCAGUAUAUCACAAUCAAUAGUAUCCACAAACUUAUCCUAACAUAUAGGUCUAUUAUAUCCUAAUCAUGAAAUGAAGGCUCUAUAACAUUCUUAAAUAUUCAUUCAAUAGCCAUGAACUAGAGGACUCCGACCUUUCAUACUUAGAUUCAAUAAUUCUAUUUAGGCAUAGAACUUUAACUACUAUCACAUACCAUUACAGAAAGGACUUUACCCAUGCUCACAUAUUCAUUAGACAAGGACUUUAACUACAUACACAACCAUUCAAACAAGAUACUCUAACCACACAUGUAUUCCUUGAGAAAAGGGACUCUAACCUUGUGCCCUUUCAUUAGAAUAGGGACUCUAACCUCUUUCCAAGGGACUCUAACCUCAAGACAUUUUAUUCAGCUAGGUACAUUAACCUCAAGAGAUCUCUUAUGCAAGGGACUUUAACCUCAAGAAAUUUCAUUGGCCAAGGGACUCCAAACUCAAGUCAUUUCAUAAAGCAAGGGACUUCUACCUCAAGCCAUCACAACUAUAAUUAGUUAAAAGUGGGACUUUAACCCUUUGCCUAUGUAUCAACAUUCAUUUCAUACAACACUAAAGGACUUUAACCAUAUAACUAAUUCAACACUAUACAUGCCCCCAGGGUCCUUAUGGGAGCCUUCGUUGCUAAACUAUUUCAAUAGAACAUUGCCUCCAUUGAAUCCAUCAUACAAUUUAAGUUAUGUUCAUCAAGAGCCUUACAACUAUUCACAUUUCAUUAACCAUCUUAUACCAUAUUCUCAGUAUAUUUGGUUCAAUACUCAAUUCAAAUAGAUUAUCAUGUUUAGGGACUUCAACCCAUUAUUAAUCAAUUAACUCAACAUGGUCAUAUAUUAUACAAUAAAUAGCUUACAAUACUUUGAACACACCAUUCAUCAAUCAUUCAUGCUUAUUGGGUCAUUGCCCUUGUUGAAAAUAUCACCAAUUUAUGACCAGACAAUUCACUUAGACAUUUCCAUAAACACCUUAUGUGCAGACCUUUAACGAGGCUAUUUAAUGGUAGAAAUCAUCAAGGUUUGGUUUAAUCAAGACCCUCAUGUUAAAACUCACACAACAAUCACCCAUAUAUACAAAUCAUUAUCAUUAAUAUGUAUAAAUAUAUGUCUGAGUAAGAGUCAACAUUAUUCAUCAUUAGGCAACAAAACCCUUUUCAUUUGAUAUAAAAAUCACCAUGUACACUUACUAAUUAAAGUUUAAAAUAGAUGGGUUUAGAGUAAUUUAAAAAUGGUAAGAGUUACAUGCCUUAGACAACUUUAUUUGCCAAAGUAGCUUGACUUCACUUUGCUCCUAGAUGGACACCAUUAAACCCUAGCCUCUCAUCCUUCAUAAAAUGUAUUUUAGAGAGUUUUAGAUGUUUGAUCCACUCAAAGUGUGUUAUAGAGACCUUAUACACUUAUAUAGUAAAUGGUCAAAGGGUUUAAGGCAUGGGAAAUGACCAAAAGGCCCUUAGUUUAAAGCUAUAAAAUGAAUCCGUGCAUGGGUACGACUCACCUUAUGAACCAUACCUUAGGGUACGAGUGGUACCCUGACUCAUACCCUAGGCUUCUCCUAGGUCGCCCAUACUAUUAACAGUAUGAUCACAUACCCUUGAGUCAUAUACAAAAGGCACAACUCAAUCCCUAACUCAUAUAAACCAUUCAUACCUAAAAUAAUUCACUCAUGCUAGGACUUCCCUCUAUACGAUCAUAUUGGGGAUGACUCAUAUACUUAGGGUAAUAUUAAGGAGGGGGUUAGUCAUACCUAUAACAGUGAGUAACCCUUACCAUAUUACCUCAAAUAUAAGAUAGAAGGGUAAGCAGGAUACAACUUGUAUCCAAAGGGUACGACUUAUUCCCCUAGUCAUACCUAACCGGGUGAUACCAAAUGGAUAGUUUCUUUCAAUGGGUCAAGUCUAAGUAUUUCAACUCAACUGAGGAAAAAGAAUGGCUUGCCCUCACUAGCACCAAUCAAAUCCACUAUAAUGAACCUCUUGAUUGCAUACUCAAUUUUAGACUAAUUCUAGGCUCCUUUCACUUGUAAUAAUUCUACUACAAGCUCAUCUUGGAAACUUUGCCAAGGACCCUCUACACUAAUUAACUCUAAUCAACAAUAAGAUUCGGUAACUCUACCUAAGCACUCUCUACUGAAAGAGAAAAUACUACUCUUAUAGCAUGAGUAGUUUAAUUAGAAAUUAACACUUAAGAAUAAUCACUCACUCUUUAAGCAUAAUACAAAGAUAAGAACAUGAAAAAUACUUUAGCAAUCUUAAAAUGAAGUUUUUAAUGCCUCUUUUUACCCUUUAGAUUUUUGCAAAAACUAUUUCUUAAAGAACCAUUUUUUUCUUUUAUAAAGGAGUGAUGAUUAGGGAUAAGAUAUUAUUUUACUAGGGGUCCUAUUCAGUAUAAGCAAGACCUACAAGUUUAUUACACAAGAGGAAUAAACUAUGUAGACACGCAUGCCAACUGUACUAUACCAUGAACAUCCAGGGACCUGGUCUAUUGUAGUUAGUUGCACAUCAUCGAACUAUGUAUGGCAAUUUCCCCCCUUUUUAUGAUGACAAACUAACCAUACAACUUUGAGCAAAUCCAUUACAUUUAAUCAGUAUGAGUAGCACUCUAAAGAUGAAUGUUCCCCCAAACAUCAUGCUUCCACCAUCAUGCAACACAGGUACCUAUUCCUUUAUUGUCAUAUGCAACAAAAACUCUGAUCAAAUAAGCACAUUUGUUUUGUUUCUUCAACCUGUCAUCAUACACCAUUAUUUAUUUAGUGCAUUUGUUGCAUUUGUAUUUGCAUACCUCCACCCCUCUUAAAGCCUUCCUUCAUUCAUCUAUUAGCGCAUCACUUACUUCCCCCUAUUAUUAUCCCAUUCAAAUCUUCAACUCAACUCAUCAUAGGCAUCUGCAUCAAUUGCACCUGGUACCUGGUCCCUACUAUAUGAACUCAGUAUUCCCUUAUUUUGCAUUAUUUAAAAGGUAAAUAAAGUAAACCAAGAUUAAUAUAAGCAUAAAUUAGUUAGCUCAUGGCCACAGGGGCAACACUAACAUGAAAAAUAACUUUGCAAUUUAAAGAGAACAAAUGUAACACACAAAGCAAAGAUUAAUUUAUAAGAAGAGGAUAUGUAUCAUAAAAGUGCAUAAAUUAAAUAUUCUAGGGAAAAACUCUAAGGAAUCAAGAAGGGUUAACAUAUGAAAGAUUUGGGAAAAUAUUUCAAAGGAGUAGGGUUAGGUUUUUAUUGAGAUGCUUUAUAUCUGCAUUUGGGCCAAGGACCUUAUCAAUUAAGAUUGACACUUUCUUCUUUAGUUCUGCAAUUUUAGUUCUGAACAUUUCAGAUUCAUACAGGAUUCGUUUAGAGAAAUGCUAAAUUGUUACCUGGAGCUUACUUAUUUCUUCAUCCUUGGCAGCCAGUUUGAACUUCUGUUACUGUAUUUCCUUGUUGAACUCAUUUAGAGAAAUGCUACCUGAUUUAACACAUUAAGGUUUGACUAAUGUCUUCAUGCCAAGCAUUUGUAACAUAGUCCCUUGGGUUCCAUUUUUAAAGACAAUACCAAAUUGGUCAAAUACCUUAUUUAACCAAUAUCCAUAAUGCAUGUUAUGUUUUCCAUUUUCCUAAGAACCACUUUAUUAAUGUGUUCUAUCAUUAAGACAGGUAUAUUAAAGAAUUCAAAGCUACUUGUAAAUUCAAUUACAUAUAGAUUAGUGGAUGAGACAAUGCUUUUAUUUUGUGAUCUAGGUAGAAUCACCUUGUUCACAAAGUGAAAGACCAAUUGAGACCACUCUUGAGUGAUUUCCUAUUCAUUGUAGCCAUAGAUUUUCCUUUGACCUUUGAUUCAUUAUAUAAGAACUCUAAUGAAGGCAGCUACUUUGAGACAAUUUAAACACCAUAUAUAGGUACUUCCAAACUUCUUCCUAAUAUUUACUCAUUCAGCUAUAUUGUCUUUCGUUGGCCUGUGCAGCCAAAUUCAUCCCAUCUUCUGAGAAUUCCAAAAUAAAAAAGAAUUCCCUAACUAUGGCAUUAAAAACAAUAGGAAUAGGUCCUUCUAUGAGAUACACCCAACCUUAAUGUUUAACCAGCUCAACUAAUUUCAACAUAUCAGGUUCCCUUAGCAUGUUUGAAUAAAAAAUCCUUCUAGUUAACACCUUUUGAUUUUUCAAGAACCGGUUUCUAUCUUCCUUGGAUGCAACCUCACUUUUCUUCUGAUUCUUUCUUCUAUUAUAAGUGAUCACAUAUUCUAUUUUAGCUACUAUUCUCUUCUUGGAACCAGGUCUCUCAAGAAUCAUCUACUUCUCAGUAAAAUUUCUAGACCAUUUUCUAAAAAUUCCUGGUGUUUUACUAAUAUUGGUUUUCCUGUGAUCAGCUAUGCUCUUUCCUGGUCUAUUUGACUAUAAGAAGAGAUUUUUAGCAUCCGAGGUUUCAUCCACUAUGACACUAUUAGACUAAUUUUAAAGAUUCUGGGAUGAUUCUUCAUUAAAAGGUUGAGUGAUAAAGGUUUUAGGCUAUGAAAGAUUAAGAAUAGAAGGAUGUUUUUCAGGAAGAUUUGAGAAGGGAUAUUUAACUAUGCCAAGCUUUGAAUACUUUAAAAUUAAUAAAACUAGGAGAUCUACAGCUAUCAAGAAGGUAUUUUUCUUAAAAGGGCUAUUUAGAAUUAGUAUUUUUCUUUUUGACGAGAGAAGGAGUUGAUAAAGAUGAAUUUAAGGGAAAGAUAAUCAUAAGGAAGGGUUUUCUAUGGAAAUAAGAUAUGAUCAAUAUCUAAUUUUAGGUGACUCACCCUCCCUUUUAGAAUAGGAACAUUUUUUUCUGACACAGGAACAGGAAGGAUGCAACUUUUUCUUCAUAGAAAAGAUAAAAUUUGCACAUAUAUGAUACUAACCUGAGAGAUGGGACUAAGCCCCUCUCUAGUUUGCCUAAAUAUUCAACUUUGUGUUUGUCUAAUUUGACCACCUCAAAAGUUGUUCCCAUGGGUGUAUACCUUCAAAUAUAUGGUACUAAGUUAGACCAACAAGUACCUAAUUUACCAAGGAUACAUGCCUUCUAAACAUAUCAAAUUUUGUAAGGAGACACUAUUUCAUUUGAUAGUAGGUCAGGCUAAUAUGAUUAAUCCCAUCAUCAAAUUUUUAGAUUCAUUACACCACAUCAUACCACGACUUGUUUUGGAAAUAGGUCUGAGGACCAGGUCCUAGAUUUGGCAUUCUUCAAAUAUCCAGAGUUCUUUUUACAUUGGUUUGAACUUUUCCAGCCUCUUUGAUAUCUUUGUGAGCUCAUUUUUGGGAUAGGAAUGCUAAUCACAUAAGACACCUUCACUUUAAAGUGUCUUAGGAAAAAUAAUAUAAUUAGACCUUUCAUUUAUAGCCUUGAGCAAUUACAUAUCAAGAAUAUUAUUCUGAUUGCAAACCUUUUCUCCCUCCUACAUUUAUUAUCAUUUGUUAGACUUGGGAACCUAUUUGAGUUUGAGUUCCCAGUAGGAGGAUAAUGGUGUGAUUAAAUACUUCAUUGUCCAUCAAGGUAAUAUGAGCUCCCUUAUAUUUUACUAAUGUCUUAAAUAUUUGGGAUAGGUAUUCCCCUGGUGAACAUAUCUAACAUUUGUCAUUCUUGCUCUAAGCCAGCGUUGACUGUCUUCUUUUAAGUGUCCAUCUCUUCCACAGUGAGUGCACGGUGAUUUAGAUGCUUUUUUUUUUUUGACAUUUUGAACAACCUUGAAUUGUGAUGCUGAUGAUUGAGUUUUACGUUAAUAUCUAAGGCCCUUACCAUUAUUGAAUCCUUGACCAGUUAUGUUAGAAAGUAUUUGUGAGGACGAAGUCCACUAAAGUUAUUUUUUGAGUUCUUCCCAAAGAUGGACCAGGUCCCUUUCGAACUCCUCAUUCUUCAGGAGUACAGACAUAAGAUGCUUCUGGGAAUCUUUAUAUUUUUCUUCAAGAUCAACCUGAAACUUUGAUGUUUCUUUCUUCCCUUUACUCUUAGUAGCAUUUACUUUCUCUGUUGACUAACCAAUCUUAGAUUUUUUCAAUUUUGAGCUUAGCAACUUAUUUCUCAGUUUAAGAUAUAUAAAGAGUCAAAGAUAUCAAUUGAAGCUCCUAAUCUUCUAUCUUUCCUUCUAGAGCGUUAUUUUUCCCUUGAUCACAUGAACUAUUAGCUUUCUUCCAUUGAUUGACUAAGCUUUAAUUUUCUAAUUUACACUUAGUAACCUACUUUGUGACUUUCCAUUUUUUAUUCUAGAGAAAAUUUUUCUCAGUUAGUUUACACAUAGAGUCCAUUAAUAUAUUUGCAAGCCUUUUUAUCUUUCUAGCAGAACAGUUAUCCAAGUUUUCUUUACAUUCAGAAAAGGUUACCUAAUUUUCUUCAUCAACUUCAGUGUUUUCCAUAAAAGCAAAUAAGGAAUAAAAGGUCACUUUCUCAUCCGCUGUUGUAAGCAUGGAAACAUAUGCAGACUUCUCAGCUUCAUCAGAUUCACUGGUGGAGUCACACCAACCAACUAAGUCUUGUUUAACUGCAAAAUCAACUGCAGCCUAUCUUCUUGAUUUCAUAGGGAACUAACCCUAUUCUUUCCUUUGUCACCUUCAACAUUGAGAUACUCCUGAUGGUUCAUUUUGUGCAUUAGACAAUCUUUUAUGAAAUACUCAAGACUAGUACUGUAAUACCCCAUACUUUUUCUAGGUUAAAUUCAUCCCUAAAAUGUCAAGAAUUUGCUUUAAGGAUGAAUACCAUUUAUUUCAUAUAGUAUUUUCAAAAUUUUGACUUUUUAUUGUGUGGAAAAUUUAAUAAGCUUUCCACUAAUACCAAAUUCGCCCAAUACCGACACUCGGCGAAGAACAUAAAGAAUUUUUAGUAAAAUAGUGCGCCACCUAGACUCUCAGUGCAUCGCAGAGAAGGCAAAAUCUAAAAUUAUCAAAUUCCAGUGGCCCUCCACGAUAGCCCCGCAUCUCAUAGAAGCCCAUUUUCCCAAUUGUCCCAUUCUAAUGAGACUCUGUGAUUCUGGUGCAUCAUGCCAAGGGCCAAAAUGGCAUACCAAGGGGCCCCGAGAUUAUUUUCGAUCGCAGAGAAAGCCUUGUUCCUACUCAUCUUUUUCCAGUGAUCUACUGCGAUUGUGGUUCAUCGCGGUGGCCAGCUAAAUCAAGAUUUUUGGUCAUUUUUUGUUCCGUUUGGGAGUUUAAAAAGGGUAUUUUGUUCAAUUUCCAAGGCCCCAAUCUAUUUAAAGAGGGUAUUUUGGUCAAUUCCCAUGGCCCCAAUCUAUCUUAAACAUAAGAUUAAUCAUAUUUCAAAGAAUUCUUGCUCACUAUUCACCAUUCUCUUCAAAAGAAAAAUCUUAGAAACCAAAAGCCCCUUCUCCAAAAAAUCUAAUUCCACCACAGAUUCUCCAAGAAAGCUUUAGAUUAAAGAUUCCUAAGACAAGAUAGUCAAUAACUUAUCUUCAAAACCUCAAUUAAAAAUCAAUAUAUCAAGAUUCUUCAUCCAGUCUUAAAUCAAGGUAUGUGGGGUUUGAACCUUGACCAUGAUAAUUCUUUCAUCUUUGUGCCCAAAAAUUUAUUUUAAUUAAAAAUUUACAGCAAUUUAUGAGAAUUCUGAUAAAAUAAAAGCUAGGGUUUAUGCCCAUUAUCAUUAUUUGCUAGAUUAUGAGAUUUCCCAUGAUUUAGAAGUUGAAUUACAUGACUUUAUUCAUAUUUAUAUGCAUUCUGCAAUAAUUUCCAGAUUUUAUGAUGAAUUAUGAGUGUUUAUAUCAUCAAGUAUGAAUUUUAAGAUGUUUUAACAUAAAGAAUGAUACAUGGGUCAUUAAGCCCUAAUUUAGGAUUGUUAUUCAAGAUUAUUAAUUUAAUGAGCACCCUCAAAUAAGAUUAUUCACAGAUUUUGAUAAAGAUUUGACCUUUUGGUCCUAAGCUAAGAUAUAGAAUCCACUGUGUUCAGAUAACUUGAGAUUUAAAGAAAAAAAGCACAAUUGGUUUUAUUGUAAACCAUUGUGCUAUUUUUGAAGUGUAUUUCUUACGAUUUUGAGCAUAAGAAUGGGAGUAGUAUUUAGCACCGAGAUUGGUGAGUUACUACAGUUUUAUACCCCAAAACUACAUGCCACCAUAGGUAUAGAUUAUUAGAUUAUUCCUACUUCUACAUGGAUGACUCAAAUUAUGAUCACUCAAAUUAAAAUUUCUAUUCUGAUGGCAAGGGUAGGACAUCCCUACCUAAUGGGGGCCAGUCUUAGGACUCCAUGGAUGCUCACAUGGUGUAUGUCGGUUUGAAAAACCUCUCAAAAGAUGUCCCCCACUCUUCAAUAGUCUAUUGAUUUAAAGAUUUAAGAUAAUAGCUUAUGUUUUGGAAGUUAUGGUUUUAAGAAUUUAAGCCCUAAGAUAAGGUAUUUUCCAGAUUUUAGAAAACUAAGUGUAAAGGCUCACAAGUUUUGCUCAGAUUAUUCUUUACAGAAAGAUAAGAUUUACAGAUUUAAAUUUUUAGAUUUCAGACUUAGAAGUGAGUCCUUUCUAUACUUAGACAGUAAGAUUUAAAGACAGAGUAUUAGCACAGCUUAUAGAACUAAAUGUUAUGGCUCACUAGAUUUACAAAUAUGAUUUGUUUCUCAUGAUUAUUCUUUUCAAUAUUUCAGAUAUUUCGUCUUACGUGAGUAUUUACAUUUAGCAUGCAUUGUUUGACAAAUUAUGAUGAUAAUAUGAUGUUUUACUUAUGCAUUUUACCUCUAUAUUCUCAUUACAUCUUCAAAGUACUGAUCCACAUAUAUGUCUAUGUGCUACAUUGUCUCAUAAUGUAGGUAUUAGUUCAGUUGUAGCACGCAUACCAUAUUCAAACAGCAUGAAGAUUCCAGCCAGCAGAUUAUGAGCCCUCCUAUUUCGGGGACUUAAGUUAGAUGUUAUUUAUGUAUUUUAUUCUCUCAUGUAUUGAUUAGUGAUAGUUGGAAUUACAUUCUAGCUAUCUAUAGUCAGUAUAGUAGAGGCUUCACAGAUGUCAGUUAGAGUCAGUUAUUUAUUUUUAGUCCCUCUUUCAUACUUUAUCAGAAUGUAAAAGUUAUAUCAGCAUUGUUUUUUUCUCAGAUUCCACCAUUGUUAUUUUCCGCACAAUAAACUCAGUUGUUUUUACAUAUCAUUCAGUUGCUUAUGAGUUAUGCCAAGAGAAGGGUUAGCUUGGGAUCACCUGUGGUCCUAAGCACUGUGUGACGUCUCGGGGUAGAUUUUUGGGGCGUUACAAGCAUACUUGUGACACACCUCCACAGUGACACAUUUGUUGCUGCUACUUCCACUUCUUUGGAAUUGGCCACUCCUCUUCAUUUCUCUAACUAUUAUUUUUGCAAAAUAGGUAACAUAAGUGUCAUAUUCAUUAGAGUCUUAUUUAAAUGCUUUUUAUGCCAGACAUUUUUCCUUUUUUACCUCCAUCUUCUCAAGCCCUUGCUACUUUUUAUAUUCAUGAGUCUUCAAAUUCCAAAUAAGCUCAUCUAGAGUGAAAGAUCUUUAUGUUUAUUUCUUUAUUUAUGGCACUACCUUGCUUUCCCAGUACUUAUAAAGAACACCAAGAAAUUUUCUCACUUGUAUAAAGGAAUCUCUUCACCUAAGCAGUGAAGCUCAUUUGUGAUAAAAGUGAAACUUGUAUGCAUUUCUUAGAUUGUUUAUCCUUUUAUCAUGGUGAAGGUUUCAUCCUAAGUAGUCAGCAUGUCCACUUUUGAAUCCUUCACAUAAGUGGUACCUUUAUGAGUAUCCCUUAAGAAAUCUUAGAUCUCUUUUGUAUUUUAACAAGUUAAGAUCCCAUUGUAUUCAUCAGGACCUUUCCACAUACUAACAAUUUCUUGGCCUUGUAAUUUUUUUCAAUCUUUUUCCUGUCUUCAUCAUUGUACUCUCUCCUUCUUUUGAUAACCAUUCUAGUAACAUCUCCUUCUUUGACUUCUCCUACAGGUACAUGAGGACAAUCAAGAAUAAUGUCCAUUAGCUCACUAUCUUCACCCAUAAUGAAAUCAAACAUCCUUGUUUUCCACCACCCAUAGUACUAUUCAUUAAAUAUAGGUGGUCUAAUGGUUGAUUUCCCUUAUUCUAGAUUAGGUGGAGCAGCUAUUCUAUCCUGUACACUCUAGGUGUUAACCUUUUAGAGUGAACCUACUUUGAUACCAACUGUAGAAACCCUGAGGGUUACACCACACAGUGAGGGACCAGGUCCCUCAAAGUCAAUCAUAACGAAUCAAAUAAUAGAUUACAGGAAAAUUAAGGGUAGUGCAGGAAUGAAACAACACACAAGGUUUAACAUGGAAACCCUCUUGCUCAAGGAAGGAAAAACCAUGGCUUGCCCUCACAAGCACCAACAAAAUCCACUAUAAUCAAUCUCUUGAUUACAUACUCAAUUUCAGCCUAGCUCUAGGCUCUUUUCACUUGUAAUAACUAUACUAUAAGAUCAUCUUGGAAACUUUUCCAAGGACCCUCUACACCAAUUAACUUUAAUCAUCAACAUACUUAGGAAACUCUACCUAAGAAAUCUCAACUCAACAGAGAAAACACUACUCUAAUAGCAUGUGUAGAUCGAUUAUAAAUUAGAACUCAAUAAUAAUCACUCAUUCUUUAAGCAUACUACAAAGAUAUAAACAUGAGCAAUGCUUGAGAAAUCAUUAAAUAGAGUUUUUCUGCCUCUCUUCACUUUUUAGAUUUGUCCAAAAAUUAUUUGUUGAAAAAGCAAAUUUUUCUUUUUAUAGAGAAGUAAUGUUUAGGGCUGAAAUAUGAUUGGACAAGGUGUCCUAUUCAGUACAAGAAGCACCUUCUUAUUUGUUAUACAAGAGGAAAAAAUUAUGCAUACAUGCGUGCUAGCUGUACUGUACCAUAAACAUCUAGGGACUUGGUCCCGUCUUGUUUAUUACAUAAGAGGACCAAAUUGUGCAGACAUGCGUGCUAGCUAUAUUAUACGGUGAACAUCCAGGGACUUGGUCCCUUGCAGUUAGCUGCUAAUCAUCAAAACUAUAUAUAGAAAAGUAUUUUAAGAUUAUUGCUAUGUUUUCUUUUAUGUAUUUAGUGGAUUUUCUUCCAAACAUAAGCGGCUAAACCACCAGACUAGAGUUGUGGGAACCUGAUGGAAUAAUGAAGUAGAGGAAGUGAAAAGUCAUUCUUGAUAAAUACUCUUGCAUGUAUUGUGAUCUUCUUCCGUGUGAUUGUUUUCUUAAUAAAUGUUGAAGUUAAGAACCUACCUAUGUUUGAUACUUACUUGAAAAGAGAGGUAAAGAUUAGGAAAAAAAGAUCAUAAUAGUAAUUUGAAACUGGCAACCCACAUUUAAUUAACUUGACACUCAAAAGGUAAUGGUUGACUUGAGAUUCAGGAUAAGGGUUAGUAAGGAGACACUAUGAGAGUCAAAAGGUAAUGAGUGAAAUUCACCAAGCGCAUUCACAUGAUAGUUGGUAAUACUAUUGUCAAAUUUUGUAUGCAAGGUAUUAUGAUAUAUCAGUGGGGCACAAUAAGUCUACGAAACUAGAAAGUCAAGUGUAACACUGUCCUAGUAUUCAUUACAUAUUGAUUUUGACCAUAUCGAUCAAGAUUUGUUUUUAUUAACAUUAUACUUAUAAAGUCCCCCCAUUUACUUUCCCAUAUUUAUACAGCUACUUCAGCAAGUUCAUGAUAGAUAUUCAGCCUGCCUAUGGGUUUGACCCCAACCUAUUUAAGAUAUAUAUUUGAUAGAGACCAUAUUAUAUUUCUUGGAGGUAUACUUUGGGAUAAAUAAAAUUUUGGCACUGUUCUCGGUGAAUACAAUUACAGAUUAAUUGAUUGGAGCUGUUGAGAUUGUUAGGUAUCAUUAUCUCUACUGUUCUUAGGGCCUAUACCGGUGUAUGCCCAGUACUCAGAGUCAAGGCAAUCCCUUGACCCUACUUGAUACUGAGUUGGAGAAAAUCUUAUGAUAGAAUUAUAAGAUGGAAGAAUACCCAGUACUAAGAGUUAAUAAAAUCCCUCGACCCCACUUGAUACUGAUGUAGAGUGAACCUUAUGAUAGAAUUAUAAGAUAGAAGAGCAGAAUCAUAGAGGUCAUGAUAACCCUACUAAGAUUCCUUCACCUUCGCAUGGUUAUUUAAGAUAUAGCAUCUCAAACCACCGUGCGAUUACUGGCCAAAAAUAAAGGAAAAAGGGAUACUGCUGCCUUUUGUGCAACACAAGAGGAAAAAUUGAGACAUGAAUAACAUCAUUGUGUAGAAAUUGACAGAUCUUGAAGAUAUAGAGUUCAAGUACCCCCAAAUUUUCUAAUAUUAUCAUUAUAUCAUGAUUUGAAGGAAGAUUUGGGGUAUAUUGAGCAUGUUGAAAUAAGAUCUAUCAUCCCUCCAGAGAUGCCUCAGAGGGUAAAUCUUAAUAUUACUAGUGCUAUGAUACAGUAGUUGAAUCUGAAGGGUUUGUUUGUUUGUUUUUUCUGAUGACUCCAACAUGCACAUCAUAGAUUUUGGUAGGAUUUGUGCUUCAUGUAAUUUACCUGAGGUGAGUCAAAAAGCUUUAUGGCUCAGGUUGUUCCCAUUCUCUCUUACAAGAAAAUCCAUAUUAUAGUUAGGAUAAACACCUCGGGGUCCAUCACUAAUUAUAAUGAGUUGUGAAAAUAGUUAUUACACCAAUUAUUUCCACCUUCUAAAAUAAUACAGUAGAAGUAUGAGAUUUAUAAUUUUAGGCAGUUGUAUUUAGAACCAUUAUAUGAGACAUGGUUGAAGUUCAAAAAAAGUUGAUAUUGGUUCUCUAAUACCAACUGAUGAUGGCAUACUUGGGAUGCAGAAAGAGGAUUCGGUACCUAUUUUAUUGGUGCUUCAAGUAAGCAGAGAAUUAUAGAUGACAUAGUAUAUCAAGAGUUUGCUAGUUGAGGAUAGAAAUUGGGUAUGACUAAGAAAUUCGCAACUAUAAAUUUGGAACAAGUUAAUGUCAUAGGCGCAUAAGGUAAAUCCUCUAGGUUUUAUGAUUUUGAUAUUGAAAGAGAAGCAAAGUACCUAAAUUAAAAGAUGGCAGGUUCUCAAUCUAAGAGCAAGGGUCCAAUCAAGACUCUUGGAACUCUAGGAAAGGGAAUCAAGGUUAGAAAUACUAUGGAGAAAGAUAUAGGGAUCAAAGUAGAGAGAGAUAGUUGAUAGAGGUGAAAGGAUAAAUAUAAGGAGAAGGUUUGUGCAUACGUUCCAUCGGGGAACCAUGUUACUAAUUUAAGCAUGGAUGAAUUUCUUACCAAGAUGGUUAAGGUUCAGAGAACCAACAGAGUUUCCUUAAGGAGAUUUAGGUAGAUAUUUCAGGACUAAGCUAGAAAGUAGAAUCGUAUACUACUGUGUUUAAGCAGCUUGAGAACCAAUUUAGUCAAAUGUUAACCACUUUGAAUCAACAUAAAUUGGGAACUCUUCGAAGCAACACUGUGCAGAAUCUAAAUAAUGACAGUUACUACUUAUCCAUCACCACUCAGAGUGGUAAGGCAACUAUUGAUCCCUCCAUAUUUGUAUUUAAUGAGGUUUGGGAUAGUGUAGUGGAUAUUGAUGAUUCACCUAAAAAGGAAUCUAAAAUGUUAGUGACUAGUGGUGAAUUAUGACAAAAAUUAACGGUCAUGGAUAAAUAAGUUAAGAAGGAUAAAGGUAAGGUUAAGUAAGUCAGGCCUAUAGUGAAUACCAAUCCAAGAACUCCCCCACCUUUUCCUUGAAGAUUGAACAAAAACCAAGAGGAAGGGAAUUAUCAGAAGUUCCUAUUGAGGAUGAAUGAAUUGUCUAUUAAUAUUUCUCUUAUGGAAGCAUUAGAGCAGAUUCCUAGCUAUGCAAAGUUCAUGAAAGAUUUGGUUACUAAUAAGCAAACGGUAUAUUUUUGAGCCAAUUGAUAAUAUGCACUAUUGUAGUUUUAUUGCUUCUCAUACUUUGGUAGUAAAGAAAUAGGACCCCAGAACUUUUACUAUUCCUUGUACUAUUGGGUCUUUGAAUUACGCAUGAGCAUUUAUGACUUGGGAGAUAGCACAAAUCUAAUGUUGCUAGUAUUUUACAAGCAGUUGUGGUUGGGUAUACCUAAGCCAACAUCGAUGAGAUAAUUGAUGGUUGACUGGACUGUUAAUUAACUAGUUGGUCUAUUAAGUGAUGUUUUAGCAAAGGUUCCUUUAUAUUCCCAGCUGGUUUUGUGAUCCUUGACUCUGAGGGGGAUUUCAGUGUUCCUAUUAUUUUAGGAAUACCCUUCUUAUCCACAGGAAGGGCAUUGGUUAAUAUGGAGAUGGGACACAUAAAAUUCCAAAUCAACAAGGAAUAUAUUCCUUUUUAUGUGGGGUAAGCAAUUCAAUAACCAAAAGAUAUGGGGGUGGUGUUUGCAAUUUAUGUUGCACCUAUCAAGGCAUUAAUGUUAGUAUUGUAGAGAUUUAAAAAGGUUAUCGGAUGGAAUACUGUACAUAUUAUGGGGAUUCCACUUGGGAUUUAUACUUACAAAAUUUAUAUUGAAUUAGAUUAUGUUCUCAAAAUCGAGCACCAAUUCCAUUUGAACCCACUUAUACAAGAGGUGGUGAAGAAAGAGAUUAUAAAGUUGUUAGAUAUAGGUAUGGUUUAUCCUAUUGCUGACAGCAAAUGGGAACCAGUUUAAUGCAUACCUAAAAAGGGUUGGAUCAUUUUGGUCCCAAAUGAGAAAAAUGAGUUAGCUCCCAUGAGACCAGUUAUAGGAUAGAGAGUGUGCAUAAAUUAUCAAAAUUUGAACACUUAGACACAAAGGACCAUUUUUCAACUACAUUUAUGGAUUAAAUACUAGACAGGGUUGUAGACAAAGGUUGGUAAUAUUCUAUUGAUGGAUAUUUGGGGUAUAAUCAUAUUUAAAUUUACACCUAAAAUGUAAUACCCCGGGAAAUUUUUCAUUGAAAUUUUGUGCGUAAACGUGUUGGGUUCUAUCUUCUAGAAUGAAUUAUAAAUUUUAUGUGUGGAAUGUCUUAGAUUAUUACCCACCAUUACAUAGAGUAACGAAUAAGCUUUCCAACGAUAUGUGGAUCAUCCAAAAUGGACACCCGAGCGACGUUUUAUGAACAUUCCGAUCGAACUGUGAAUAGUAGUAAACAGUAAAACGUGCAGGAAAAAGUACUGAGGCCUGGCGUAUUUUUGCUCCAACUUUAAAUGAUCAUAACUCCUUGUACAUAAUGAUCUGGGUGAUCUACUAUAUAUCAAUAGAAAUCUCUGCGAGUCCUCUUUCCAAUGAAAUUAGUUUCAUCCAAUUUUCCUAUUGAAACAAAAAGUUAUGGUCGAUCUACUUCAGCCUAUCAAAAGAAAAUUUUUGGGUCAACUUCAAAUGAUCAUAAAUCCUCAUACAUAAUGAUCUGGAUGAGAUACUAUAUAUCAAUGGAAAUAUAUGAGAUUCCUCUUUCCAAUGAAAUUGGUUUCAUCCAAUUUGGAUAUCGGGGUAAAAAAUUAUGGUUGAUCUACUUCAAACUAUCAAAACAGUCCACCAAAGGACAAAUUUGAGAAUUAUUUGAUUUUUAGGGGCAUUUUGGUCAUUCCCCCUCACCCAAAAUCCAUUCAAACCCUAUAUUAAAGACUAUUAGAAGCAUUAUAUGUUAUAUUUCAUCAAAUUCCCUCAAAAAGAAAACCCUAAGCUCCUACAUCCAACUUCAAGAACCUCCAAAGUUCACCAUUAAUUCUGCAAAUUUAUUCAAGAUUCCAAGUUCCUAGUUCAAGAACUCCAAGAACCAUCAUUCAAAGGCACGAUUAACAUCUCAAAAAUGAGUAUCGAUCUAAAGUUCAUCAUUCAAGGUAUGUGGGGUUUUUCAACAAGAACUCUCUUUCGUUCUUGUGCCCAAAAGUAAUUUUCUUUACAAAGGCAUGAUUUUUAUUUGAUUUUUACGAAUUUGAAGCAUGAACCCAUAUCUUAUGAUGAUUAUUAUGAAAUCUUGAUGUUUAUGAUUUUGAAAGAUGAAUUUACAUCUGUGGCGAUAUAACACAUGAAUCUUGAACCAUAUUUAUUAUGAUUUUGAUAUUUGGGUCGUGAAUCCCCAUUGGAAAUUGUGUUUUUUAAGAAAGUUUGUGUUAUAAGCAUGUUGAUGUUGAAUAUUUGAGAUAUUCUGAAUGAUUUGACCUUUUGGUCUUAAUGGAGUUGUUUUAAACUCAAGUGAGAAAGAAAUCCACAAUGUGGUUGAUUUUGAUAGAUGGGAAGCAUGAUGGCUCCCGAUGUAUAUUUAUAUUUUACUAAAAUUAUUUUGUUAUGUAUUGUCUUUGAAAUGAUCUGAGCUAAGUCCAGUAGAAAUCUUUAGCACCGAGUGGGAGGUAUAAAGCAACCUUACUUCCCUAGAACUAUGUGCCCCCGUAGGAGUGAGCCUGAGGCUAAUUUAUAUAGUGAUCACUAGUUUGUGUGGAUUUGAUAUCGAAGUCCUACUCCGAUGGCAAGGAUAGGACGGCGCUCUCCCCAACGUGGAUUGUACUUUGGAAUCCAUGUAGCUCACAUGGUUUAUGUCAAUUAUAGGAUCUCUAAGUGUGUGUGUUUUUCCUUGUGUCUAUGGUGAAUGGUGAUGUGACUUGAAACUGGAAUUGUGAAAGUUAUUCUUUCAAAAGACUUAAAUGAUAUUUACAUUAUGAGAAUUGAUAUUAUUGAUGAACUGAAAGUGAUUGACAAAUUAUAUGAUGACUCAUAUGUGUUAUUGUACUUAUUUUAUCCUCUCAUGAUUAUGAUGAUUUUCUUCGGGCUAUGUGAGUCUUUCAUACAUCCUGCAUAUUUCUUAUAAAUAUUUAUGAUGAUGAUGUUUAUACAACUGUAUACACCCCCAUAUAAUCGGUUCCUUUCCAUGGUACUGACCCACAUCUUCAGAUGUGGACUGCAUUUUCUCAGAAUGUAGGUUCAGGUGCUCAGUUCCAGGUUUGACAAUGAUUUUUUGGGCACGCUGUUCUACAUCUCUAUUAUGGUGAGUCCUCAUGUCUUAAGGACGUGAUGUUUGAUGUUGGUUUCACGGAAUCGUUUACAUUUGAUAUCGGAGUAUGAGUCAGUUGGGGAAUGUCUCAAUGGGUCACUGGUUUUAUUGAUUUUCUUAAAGGCUUGUCAGACUAGUAUAGAUGUUGGGAGUGGACUAAUAAGUCCUAUUUUGUUAUCUUUUUAAAAUUCUUUUAUUCUUUGAGGAUGAUUACACUAUUGAUAUUUGAGGGUUAUUUAUGGAAACCCCGUUGAUUUGUUUUGUACUGAAUAAAAAUGGCUCAAAGGGUUACUUAGGGCUACUCGUAGCCUCAAGCACCGUGUGAUGCUCCGGGACCCAUUUUUCGGUGCUUUACAAACUUGGUAUCAGAGCCUAAGGUUUUAAGGUAUUUUAAGGAGUCUGACAAGCCGCGUUAAGUAGUCUUGAUCAUCGGUGUGUAGCGCACCAUAUCUAUGAGCAAGAGGCUACAAGACGUUUUAGGAAAAAGUAUGAUUCUUUCUUUCAGAAGUCUAUUGUGCUUAAAAUGUCUCUCUCUACUACUGAUUUGUGCUCUUCUCUUUUAGAAAUAUGCCUCCACAUCGAGCGAGAAGAAAUUAUGAUGGUCAGCAACCUCAACCCACUGACCCAUUGAAUAAAAAUGUGUCUCAUGCUGAAUUUCGGGCAGCCUUGCAGGCGCUGGCUCAAGCUAUUAUUGUAAAUUUUCAGGCCAACCCAGCCCCGGCUCCACAGCAGUAGGGAGGUGAUUCAGCUACUUCCAGGAUCCGUGACUUCAUGCAGAUGAAUCCACCAGAAUUCUAUGAGUCUAAGUCUGAUAAGGAUCCAUGGUUAUUUUUAGAGGACGUGCAGAAGAUUACUCAGGUGAUGCAUGUAUCUGAGGAACAUAGUGUGGAGUUGGCUGUGUAUAGGUUGAAAGAUUGCUUAUGACUAGGUUGUUUCUUGGAGGAAAGGUGGAGGUGAGGGAGCUAGCCCUACAACUUGGCAAGAGUUCCAAGAUACGAUCCUGGAUAAUUUUUUCCCUUUGGAGAUGAGGGAGGCGAAGGUGGAAGAGUUUAUGAACCUGCGACAGGGAUCUAUGACUGUUAAGGAGUACUGUCUAAAGUUCAAUCAGUUGUCCAAGUAUGCUCCUGACUUAGUGGCUGAUAAUCGGGCUAGUAUGAGUAAGUUUGUGACUAGAGUAUCUAGUUAUGUGGUUAAGGAGUGUAGGUCUGCUAUGCUUAAUAGUGAUAUGAAUCUUUCUAGGUUGAUGACUCAUGCCCAACAAAUUGAGGCAGACAAGAUUAAGGAGAGGGAUAGAAUGAAAAGGAAUAAAAGAGCUAGGUCCGAGCAGCACGGAAAGGGUCAGACUAGAUCGUAGGGAGGGAGUCACUCUCAGCAUCAAGAUCAUUCAUCUAUGCCAGCACCGUCAUCUUCUAGUGCUCCCGUGCCUAGAGGUAGGCAGGAGCAAGGUAGCAAGUCACAUGUAUCCAGGUCCCAGUACAAUGCUGGGAGUAAGCCAAAUCAUCCCAUAUGUCCUAAGUGUGGUAGGGAUUAUUCAAGUGAGUGUUGGGGUAAGAAGAGGGGUUGUUUUUGGUGUGGUGACAUGGGUCACAGAGUUAGAGAUUGUCCACAAGAUGGACUAGGGCGUCGUGACUAUCGCCCUCAGACCUAGACUCAGACUGUUAGUGCUCAAGUUUCAGCGACUCACCUAACCCCAGCUCAGGGCACCUCUUCUAGCAAUGCUGGUGGGUAGCGCUAGAAUAGAUUCUAUGCUUUAAUGUCCUGCCAAGAAUAGGAGGACUCUCCUGAUGUUGUUACUGGUAUACUUCGUAUAUUUCAGUUUGAUAUGUAUGCUUUGUUGGAUCCUGGAUCCAGUUUCUCAUAUGUUACAGCUUCGAUUAUUGUGAAUUUUGAAAUGAGUCCUGAACCUAUCCUAGUUUCUACCCCAGUAGGUGAUUCGAUUGUUGCCCUGAAAGUGUAUAAGAAGUGCCCUGUUACCAUUCUUCAUAGAGUCUUGUUGGCUGAUCUGAUUGAGUUAGACAUGGUAGAUUUUGAUGUAAUUCUGGGCAUGGACUAGAUGUAUUCUUCUUAUGCCUCUAUUGAUUGUCGAACCCGAGUGGUCAAGUUUCAGUUUUCGGGUGCAUCCAUGUUUGAGUGGUCUGGAAUUCUGUGUCACCCAAAAGUCAUUUUAUCUUUUACCUCAAAGCUAGAAAGCUUUUUUCCAAGGGGUGUACUUACCAUUUGGUUAGAGUCAAAGACACUAAGUCUUAAACUCCAACUCUCCAGUCUGUUAACGUCGUCAAUUAGUUUUCUGAUUUCUUUCCAGAUGAUCUCCCAGGGAUACCUCCUGAUAGAGAGAUAGAGUUCAGGAUUGAUUUUAUUCCCGAUACUUAGCCCAUUUUUAUUUCUCCUUAUCGUAUGGCCCCUGCAGAACUUAAGGAGUUGAAAGAGCAACUCAAAGAUCUACUAGAUAAGGGUUUCAUAAGGCCUAGUGUUUCUCCUUGGGGUGCUCCUAUGUUGUUUGUGAGAAAUAAAGAUGGCUCUUUGCGUAUGUGCAUUGAUUACCACCAAUUGAAUAAAGUCAUCGUCAAAACUAAGUACCCCCUUCUGAGAAUAGAUGCUUUGUUUGACCAAUUGCAAGGUGCAAGUUAUUUCUCAAAGAUAGACCUUUGUUCCGACUAUUAUCAACUCAAAGUUAGGGAGUGUGACAUCCCAAAAACCGCUUUCUGAACUCGUUAUGGCCAUUUUGAGUUUCUUGUUAGGUCUUUUGGGUUAACUAAUGUCCCAGCAGCUUUCAUCGACCUCAUAAAUCGAGUGUUCAAACCAUAUCUGGGUAUGUUUGUCAUAGUGUUCAUCGAUGAUAUACUGGUGUACUCCGGUAGUGAGGAUGAACAUUCUGAUUAUCUUCGAACUAUCUUGCAAACCCUUAGAGAUCACAAGUUGUUUGCCAAGUUCAGUAAGUGUGAGUUUUGGCUAAGGUCAGUUGCUUUUCUGGGUCAUAUCAUUUCUUUUGAAGGUAUUAAAGUUGAUCCCCAAAAGAUCGAAGCUGUUAGAAAUUGGCCUAGAUCUAUUUCUCCGACUGAUAUCAAAAGUUUCUUGGGUUUAGCUAGCUAUUACCACCAUUUUGUUGAGGGUUUCUCCUCUAUAGCGUAUCCAUUGAAUCGGUUGACCCAAAAGAAAUUGAAUUUCUUGUGGUCCAAAUCUUGUGAGAAGAGUUUUCAGGAGUUGAAGACUCAACUCACUUCAGCCCCUGUUUUGACUUUGCCUGAUGGUGUUGAUGGUUUUAUGGUGUACUAUGAUGCUUCGAGAGUUGGGUUGGGUGCGUAUUGAUGCAAAAGGGUAAGGUGAUAGCUUAUGCUUUUUGAUAGUUGAAACCCCAUGAGAAAAAUUACCCCACCCAUGACCUUGAGUUGGCUGCUGUUGUGUUUGCUUUGAAAAUCUGGAGACACUAUUUGUAUGGUGUCUAUGUUGAUUUUUCACUGAUCAUAAGAGUUUGCGGUAUGUGUUUACCUAGAGAGAAUUGAAUCUUAGGUAGAGACGAUGGUUAGAAUAGUUAAAGGACUAUAAUAUAAGUGUGCUCUACGAUCCGGGCAAAGCCAAUGUUGUGGCGGAUACCUUAAGUAAAGUGUCCACGGGUAGUGUUUUGCAUGUGGUAAAAGGUAAGAAAAAGUUGGCUCGUGAUGUACAUCGUUUGGCUAGAUUGGGGGUUUGGUAUUUUGACUCUGCUAAAGGUAGUAUACGGGUUCAGAGUAGUUCCGAAUCCUCCUUGGUUUUGGAAGUGAAGGAAAAGCAAUACUUAGAUGCUAGUUUGGUCAGACUGAAGGAGUCAGUCAAGGACCAAAAAGUAGAGGUUUUCUCCUAAGGAAGAGAUGGUAUGUUGAGAUUACAGGGUAGAUUAUGUGUCCCGAAUGUUGAUAAUCAGAGACAGAGGAUUAUGGUGAAAGCACAUGGGGCGCGAUAUUCUAUUCAUCCUGGUGCCACCAAGAUGUACCGAGACUUGCGGGAAAUCUCUUGGUGGAGUGGCAUGAAGAAAGAUAUAGCAGCGUUUGUAGCUAAGGGUGUAACAUGCCAACAGGUUAAGGUUGAACACCAAAGACCUAGUUGUAUGAUGCAAGAGUUAGUAUUCCCACCUGGAAGUGGGAAGAGAUAAAUAUGGACUUCGUGAUUGGUUUACCUCCUUCCCGACGCCAUCAUGAUUCCAUUUGGGUUGUGGUUGAUAGGUUGUGGGUGCACAAGGUAAAUCCCCUGGGUUGUAAGAUUCUAAUAUUGAGGAGGAAGCAAAGUACAAGGAUUAAGAGAUAGCAGGUUUUUUAGUAAAGAGAAAAGGGUCCAAUCAGGACCCUUGGAAGUUAAGGCAAGGGAAUUAAGGUCUAAAUUGUUAUGGGAUCAAAUAUAGUGAUAUAAUAAAAAAAAGUGAUAGUGACUAAAGGCAAAAGGAUAUAAAUAAGGAGAAAGGUGGUGUAUAUGUCCCACUAAGGAAUCGUGAUACUAAUUUAAGGAUGGACGCAUUGCUUACCAAGCUGGGUAGAAUUGCAUGCCACCGCGAUUUAUCAGCUUGAGCAGCAGUUUGGUCAAAUGUCGACUAGUUUGAAUCAGCAUUGAUCAGGCACUCUUUUGAGAUAAACUAUGCAGAAUCUAUAGAACUAUAGUCACUACUUAGCCAUCACCACUCAGAGCGGGAAGGCGUCUAUUGAUCCCUCUAUUCCUAUAGUUGAUAAGGUUCAGUAUGGUGUAAUAGAUAUUGAUGUUCCACCCAAAGAAGAAUAUAAAAAUUUAGUGACUAGUGGUGAAUCAUAACAAAUAUUGAUGAGUAAAGAUAAAUGAUUUAAGAAGGAUUAAUGUAAGAGAAAGGAAGUUGAGCCUAUAGUGAAGACCAUUCCACGACCUUUUCCAUAUUUUACUUAUAGAUUGAAGAAGAAGCAAGAGGAAGAAAAGUAUCAGAAGUUUAUGUCAAUGUUGAAUGAACUAUUUGUUAGUGUUUCUCUUAUAGAAGCAUUACAAAAUGUGUCAGGCUAUGUCAAGUUCAUGAAAGAUUGUGUUACUAAGAAGCGGAUGGUGAGUUUGAGCUUGCUAAUAAUGUGUACUAUUGUAGUGCUAUUGUUUUUUGGUCUUUGGUUUAGAUGAAAGAGCACCUCAAAACUUUCACUAUUUCUUGCACUAUUAUGUCUCUUAAUUUUGCACUAGCAUUGUGUGAAUUAAUAGCUAGCAAAAAUUUGAUGCCGCUACUGAUUUCUAAGGAGUUGGGGUUGGGGACACCUAAGCCAACAUUAAUGAGAUUAAUGAUGGCUUACCUAACAGUGAAGAAAUUAGUCGGUAUAUUGUGUGAUGUUUUUGUAAAGUUAGCUUCCUUCAUAUUCCAAGCUAACAUUGUGAUCCUUAACUAUGAUGUGGAUUUUGAUGUACCUAUUAUCUUUGUGUAAGGCAUUAGUUGACAUAGAGAUGGGACACAUGAAAUUCAAACUAAACAAUGAACAGGUUACUUUUAAUAUGGUUUAGUCAAUGUAGCAGCUGAAAGAUAUAAGGGUGGUGUCUAUGAUAGAUAUUGUUGAUGAAGCGGAAUUGACUACACCUACUAAGGAGUGACUUAGGGUCGAGGCAUUAGUGUCGGUGAUCAUGAAUUUUGACAAUGAUGGCAUUGAUAAAUAUGAUGAGAUGGUGAGCGCACUCUAUGACAGAGGUGCUUAUUCUUUUUCAUCAAAAAAGCUAGAGCUUAGCUUGAAGAAUAGAGUGACUCCGCCAGCUCGAAUUUUAAUUGAAGAGCCACCAGUCUUGGAAUCAAAGGCCCUCCCUUAUCACUUUCAAUAUGAACUUUUAGGGUUUAACAAUACAUUGUCGAUUAUUAUUGUUGCAUAUUUGAUGCAUACACAAUACGAAGCACUGAUUUCAAUAUUGAAGAGAUUUAAAAGGCCCAUCAAAUGGACUAUUAUAAAUAUUAUAGAGAUUCCACACAAGAUUUGUACUCAUAAAAUUUUGCUUGAAUGGAAUUGUGCUCCCAGUGUCCAUUGUUGUUUGAACCCAUCUAUAUUGGAGGUGGUAAAAAAAAUGAUUAUAAGUGGUUAGAUGCGGGCAUCAUUUAUCCUAUUGCUAAUAGCAAAUAGGUGAGUCAGUUCAUUGCGUACCUAAGAAGGGUGGGAUCAUUAUGGUCACAAACGAGAAGAAUGAGUUAGUGACCAUGAGAUUAGUUACUGGAUGGAGAGUGUGCAUAAAUUAUCAAAAGUUAAACACUUAGACACAAAAGAACCAUUUUCCUAUGUCGUUUAUGGAUCAUAUGCUAAAUAGGCUUGCAGACAGAGGUUGGUUCUAUUAUCUUAAUACUUAUUGAAGGUAUAAUCAGGUUUUUUAUUUCCCCUGAAGACUAAGAGAAAACUACUAUUACAUGCCUAUAUGGUACUUUUCAAUUCAACAGGAUGUCAUUCAAAAUUUUUCAAUGCUUCAUCAAUUUUUUAAUGUUGUCUGAUAUUGAUAUUUUUUAUAUGGUGGAGGACACUAUAGAGGUCUAUAUGGAUGACUUUUAGAAUGUUAGAGAAUCAUUUGAUGAUUGUCUGGCCCGUUUGGCCGAUGCACUUCUGAGAUAUGGGAAGUACAACUUGGUUUUAAAUUCAUAGAAGUGACACUUUAUGGUGAAAAAAGGGAUUGUUUUUGGACAGAAGAUUUUGAAGAGGGGUAUUGAGGUUGACAGGUCAAAGAUAGAUGCGAUUGAAAAAUUACCUCCACCAUUUUUAAUUAAAGGUAUUAAAAUUUUCUUGGGUUAUGUUAGGUUCUAUAAGAGGUUCAUCAAGGACUUCUCAAAAAUAUCUAAUCUAUUGUGCAAGCUUUUAGUGAAGGAGAUAAGGUCGUGUUUGAUGAUGUUUGUCUCAAGGACUUUGAGGUUAAUCUCAGCUUCUAAUAUUAUUGAGCUCGGCUCCUAUUAUUGUGUCUCUAGGUCGGUCCUUGUCUUUUGAGGUGAUGUAGGAUGCAAUUAGUGUGAAUUUAGGAGUUUUCAUAGGCCAAACAUAUGAGAAGAUAUUUUACCCCAUCUGCUAUGCUAGCAAAGAAUUAAACCCCAUGAUGAAAAAUUAUAUAAUUACUAUGCAGGCGUUACUUGCAGUCAUUUUUCUUUUAGGAAAUUCAUGUCUUAUUUGAUAGGACCAAAGUCAUCAUUCAUACUGAUCAUUCAGCAUUGAGGUAUCUAAUGUCGAAGAAAGAUGCUAAGACGAGAUUGAUUCGUUGGGUAUUUUUGUUUUAGGAAUUUUAUUUUGAGGUGAAAGACCAAAACGGCACUGAAAAUUGGGUUGCAGACCACCUAUCCCACUUCAAAGGGGAGGCAAUGCUUAAAUUAAUGGUGGGCUUAAAAUUGAUGAUAUUUUUUCAGAUGAGCGAAUAUUUGAAACAUCUUAAGACUUAAUCCCCUGGUUGGUUAAUUUUGCCAACUAUUUGGCCAAUUAUCUUGUCCUAGAAGACUUUUCUUUAUAGAAGUGCAAAUGAUUCAUGCAUGAGGUAUACAAGUUUUUCUAUGAUGUUCCUUCUCUAUUUUGGGUGUGUGUGGAUGGAGUUAUUCAGAGGUGAAUUCUUAAGGUGGAGAUAACGAGUAUACUUGAGGCUUAUCAUUCAUCACCAAUUGGGGGUCAUCAUGGUGGUACCGAUAUAACCUAUAAAAAUCUAUAGUGUAUGUACUAUUCCCCGAAUAUCUACAAAGAUGUCCAUAAUUAUGCUCGAUCUAUUGAUAAGUGUCAGCCGCAAUGAAAUAUAUCGCGGAAGCAUAAAAUCCACAUGAAACCCAUUUUGGAGUUAAAGUUGUUUGAUGUGUGAGGAAUUGAUUUUAUGGACCUAUUUGUGAGUUCUUAUGGGAUGAAGAAUAUAUUGGUAGUAGUCAACUUUAUCUCUAAAUAGUGGGAGGCAGUUGCACUUCCUACUAAUGAUGGUCGAAGUGUCACUAGAUUCUUAAAGAAGAACAUUUUUUCAUGAAUUGGCACUCUACAUGCUAUUAUUAGUGAUGGUAGGUCCCUCUUCUAUAAUCUUCUUUUUAAGGACCUUCUAAAAAAUGUAGUAUGAAGAACAAGGUAGCAACACCUUACCAUCCGCAGACAAGUGGGCAGGUUGAGGUCUCUAAUUGUAAUAUCAAGUCCAUAUUGGCGAAGACUAUUAAUGUCAACUGGACUGAUUGGUCAUGCAGGCUAGAUUAUGCACUUUGGGCUUAUAGGAUAGCAUUUAAGACCACCAUAAGUGCUUCUCCAAAUCAGAUUGUGUUUGGAAAGUCAUGCCAAUUGCCAAUAGAACUUGAGCACAAAGGACUAUGGGCUUUAAAAAAAGAUAAAUUUUAAGUGGGGUGAUGCAGCAAAUUUGAGGAUGAGUAAGGUAAAUGAGUUGGAUAAAUUUCGGAUCCAAAAGGAUGAGUAUUCGUCUUUGUACAAGGAGAAGAUGAAGUUGUAUCAUGACAAAAAGAUUGAGAAAAGAGUGUUCGAUCCUGACGAUAUGUUCAUGCUAUAUAAUUUGCCACUUUGCUUGCUUCCUAUCAAGUUGUAAUCUAGGUGGAAUGGAUCAUUCAUUGCUGUUAGAGUAUUCUCACAUGGUGUAAUUGAGCUUAAAUGUGAUGGAGAAUCCCCAUUAAAGGUAAAUGGGCAGCGUGUUAAGCACUAUAUGGUAAAUAUGGAGAAAGUGAAAGUAUGUGUUGAUAUAAGACUUAGCAAAGUGUGAGUAACCAAGGCAAUCAAGUCGUACCACAACAUUAAAUCAGGUGCUACAUGGGAGGCAAUCCAUGAGCUUGUUGGUAAAGUAUGAUUUUCUAACAUAGCCACAUUGUGCCACGAUAUUAAAUCAAGCAUUACAUGGGAAGGCAACCCAUACUUUGUACCUAUUACAUUAUACGGUAACUUUUGUGUUCAGUGUGUAGGGGUGAAAAAUACAAGAAUAGACCAGAAAAUAUUCUAGUCCCAGGUCCCAAUGAAAAACCCUACGAUUUGUAGGGAUUACCUACGACUCAUCACCAGACUCGUCAAGAGGAUCCUAAGUGCAAACCUUCAUGUAAAUGGUCUCUAGGGUCUUGACGACUCUAAGAAUGAGUCAAUGUCAAUAACAAUGACUCGUUGCCUUGAGCCAGCAUGACUAGAGACCCAAGUAAGGCUAUAACUCUAAAUGGAGAAAGACUAUCACUAGUAGCAACAAGCUACAAUUCGUUCUCAGAGUUCAUCAUCAAGCCCGAUAUUGAAUACCCUAAGAGCUAACCCAACCUGAUUCAGGUGAAACUAAAGAGAGAGGUCAAUUCCAAAUGAUUGCCUUUCAUUUUUAAAAUACCUAAACUCCCUCCAUUCUAAUAACCGUCCUAAAAUACACUUAUUACACCCUUAAUCAUCCUCCCACGCCCUAAAAUCAAGGUUUAAUUACUUCUAAGAUAACAAAUGUUAGAUUCUCAAGAACAACGCUAUGAAAGUUUAACGAAUCAAAGUAAAUCUUUCUCCAUUUUCGAAGUAAGUGCUUUAAUCCUUUGUUUUCCAUUUGAAAUUCAUGUUUAAUAAAUAAAAAAUCUUUUGGAUUCCAUGUUAAUUACAUACCUAGGGUUAAAAUCUUAUCAUGUAGUUGUUGAGAAUCUUUAAAAUAUUAAUAACUUAGAGGAGACCUUGAUGUGGGGGAUGAAUUAAGUCUUAAUAUGGUUAUUGAAUUUAUGAGGGAAAUAUAAGUGCCCCUUGGGAAAUGGGAAUGCAAAAGAACCAUGCUUAACCAUGUAUGUUGCAGUCGCUACGGGCCUCAUAACAACUCAUAAAGUAUCCUAAUAAAUCGUGAAGUGACUCGUAGCCACCAGUAACAUGUGUAGGUAUGGGUGAGAGUUCUCUGGCAAUACUACAACUCAUAUUAAGAGUCGUUGUCUAUCCGUACAACUCAUAUUAAGAGUCGUUGUCUAUCCCUACAACUCAUAGUAACUGGAAAUAAAAAAUAACUGAGACAUUAUUGUUUGGUCAAGCUAUGAGUCACAUAAUGUGUCGUUGUGUGACCCAACGACUAAUUCAGCAGACUCGUAAAGUGGCUAUUGUUGAGUCAUUACAUGUUAUUUCACCCUACGACUAUUAGCAUAACUUAUGGCCUCUAGCAAUGAGUUGUAGCCUGACUCAUAGGGUGCCCAGCCACUGUCACUACUCUUCGUUUUUCUUUGCUUUUCCAUUUCUUUUCCUAGUAUUAACUAACAAACAGUUGCUCCCAUGUAAAAUGGCACCAUAAAAUGACUCAAAGCAAAACACCUAAGAAACAAGCUCAUCCCACAACUUGGCAUCUUAUGGACGAUCCCACUAAUGAUGAUUCCAAUGAUUUUAUAGAGGAAUAUCCAAUUGUGGAACUAGUGGAACUAAGGAGCAGCCUACCUUAGAACACAAAGGUUUCAUAUCCAGGCCAAUCGUUUCCAUAUGCUAGGCCCCAGAUAAAGAGCCCUAAGCAAUCACCCCCACACUCAACUCUUUUGUCUAAAAAGAGAGAAGAGUCAAAAUCAGACCCCAGGGGCGAAAAUGAGCAAAAUGAUGUUGUAUCUAGAGGUGGAUCUAAUUUAGAGUCAAGUUCGUAGAACAAAGAGGGGGAUAGGGAAGGAGAAUUGAGUAAGAGUACACAAGUGGAGAUACCUCCUCCUUCCUCUCCACCUACUCAUUCAUUAAAAACUGAGUCUGCCCCAGUGCUCAUCAUUAACCUGUACCUCGAAAUGCAGGAUUUGUAUGAGCAGGAUAAUUCCAUUAUCCAUAAAACCCAGAGGCCAAAGAGAGGGUUCUACCUUGAGACCAAGAUGAGCCUGAUGAUCAUGUCUAAGAUUCCAAAAUUCAAGACUAAAUUUAAGAAAUACCAUUUUUAGUGGAUGAUGAGGGCCCUAGGUAGAUAGAGCCUGACCCUGGUCUGAAAGUUUUAUGUAGCGUAUCAAAUGGAGUUGAAGAGAAUAUAUUCGUAAGGAAAGCUAUGGAAGGGAGGUAAUCCCUUUCAAUCAAUGUUGAUCAUAGGUGUUCGAGUGAACAUCUUUACUUGGACAAUUUCCAUAUAUUUCAUAAGGAAGAAUUUGGGCUCCCCACAAAAAUCUCAGGGAUUGAUCACCGCAUAGAGGAAAUAUGAAAGGUGAAAACAAAGAAGAUUAGGUUAGAUGACAAGUGUAUGAAUUUUUGUAGGUUGCUAGGAUUAUCAUUACGGUGCAAGAGGAAGUGCCUUAGGUUGUAGUACCUAUUACUCAGAUUAUGAAGGAAAUAUUGAGCUUUGUGCCUAAGGCAUGGUAUACGUUGGUUUAAUUUUGGUUGAGUCCGACUAUGAGGGAUAAUAUACUGAGUCCCGACAGAGUCGCACUAGUUGUCGACAUUAUGAAGGGUUACAAUAUUGAUGUAUCCGAGAUCUUAGCGAGGGAAAUCUAUAACCGUGUUGUGAGCACAAAUAGUAUUUUAGAUUUCCCAGGUUCUUAACUAAAACAUGCCUUGAUGAUUAGAGGCCAUAAAUUCCAGGUGUUGAGCAUUUUUUGACAGUCCAUAAGAUUACAGAUUCGAGCUUGAUUUGGGACCUUGCAAACCUAAUAUCGAAGUCAAAGGUUAGCACUUCAAUUUUCCAGGUCGUAUCUCAGUCUAGAGAGAAGAUGGAUAUUGGUACAUCAGGCUUUGUCGAUCUUAGUGAAGCCCACGCAGAGACAGCCGAAGCUACGCCACAACCCACUACUGAUGUUGCA